rnacentral:lncRNA from 1 species
AGCACUGCUCUGAGUUUAGGCAUUCCAUCCAACAUCACUAGAUUGCAGAUUCUCUCAGAUGGAAGAGUAGAAAAAUAAUGAAAGUUGCCCCUGACUCAAAAUCUUCCUUGAAAAAUGAUGGCAAGAAAACGGACUCGUUUGGUAAGUAGAAAUGAGAGAUUAUUAUUUCCAUUACCUGCAAGAUAUGAUGUGUCUUCCAAAAAUGAGAGCAUGACUAAUUUAACUAGAAAAUGUUGCAGGCAGCCUAUAUCAAUUCUCCACUACCCCAAUUCAAGGCCGAGUCAAUAUGUCUUUACUUCAAAAACAAGCACAGAAAGGGGGGAGAAGGCACUAUUUAUUUGGGUGUGUAGACAAAAGGACAAAGAGAAACUGCCCCUCCCCUAAUCUCCUAAUACUGGCCCUUAAAUGAAAGAGUUUCGUGACCUGAAAGUUACUCGUCAGGACGGAUGUAACUGAAAACGCAUGGGAAGUUACAGUCAUUCAUUCUCUCCUCUUGAGCUAGUACCUGACCAGGGAGACAUAUUAAGUCACUUGGCUUGUUCUUCGUGGAGAAGUUUUAGUGUCUAAUUGGAUCACAAACAGAAUGUGAGCAAGUCCAUUAUGCAAGAAAGAAGCCCCACCUUCUGGCCACCCGUGUAAGUCUUACAGUGCACCUCCCCACCAUAUCCCCUGCCACACUCCCAACCCCUGUGCAUCGGGGCAAAAGUAGCUCUCCACUGGGCUUUAUUUCCUAAAGCAGGAAGCUUUCCUGUGUACUUGGGAAGAAAAUAUUUGGCAAUAAUGGAAAUCAAAAUAUUUCUCUAGACAGUUCAGCAUUAUCUGUAAACCCUCAUGCCCUUUCAAACCAAAGCAUACUUGUUUAGUAACAACAAGUUAUUCCCUUUCUCUGCUUCCCUUUUUCAUUGGUGGGGAGAAAACAUAACAGUAUUCUAUCCUGGAAAACUCCAUAUACAGUCUGACAAUUGCUUUAUCUUUUCCUUCUCAGCUCAUAAGCUUAGAUCAUUAACAGAAUUUUUCUGUUUGUCGAUACCAUUUGCAAAUACGUCAUGAUUCCUUUCAGUGACAUUAUUAAUCAAUUUAUAAUUCAAGCUAUAGCUUCAUUGUGUCCAAUGUAUUUUGCGUUUGUAAUAUAACACUGUGUAAAGUAUCUCUUAAGUCUACUAGGUUCUAUUUGUGUCUGAGACCACGUUUUGACCAUCGUAUUUAUUUCUUAUUGAUAUUACCUCACUAAUGUAAGCAAUGAGGUAUAAUAACCAGCAUGCUUUCCAUUGGACCCCAUGUAGGUUCUCAGCACUAAAAUAAGAAAGCUAAACUGGCAUAAAGCUAUGUAAGAGAUUCUCCUUUAAUUUACAUCUGAGUUUUGUGACCAACGUACAUAAAUAAAGCAUGCUACAAUGAGAACGACCACUACCCACAAUAGUUGGUAAUUAAGAGUAAGGGAGAGGUGAAGUGGGGUGAAUUUCAGAAUAAAAUGUGUUCAAGGAGCGUGGCGAUGGGUGGGGAAUACGUACGUGGGAGAUGUCAUCGAUCACUAAUAUGCUGCCCAGUGGGGACAAAUCAAGGACACGAUACUUUCCAAGUCCCACUAGUGUGUUAGAGACUUCUCAGUUUAAUUGAGUAUGAAUAUGCCUUUUCGUGCCCUCGAUUUCCAUCUUAUUUUUUUUUUUAAGUAGGCUCCACGCUCAGUGUGGAGCCCAACCCCAGUCUUGAACUCACAGCCCUGAGAUGUAGACCUUGAGCUGAGAUCAAGAGCUGGAUGCUUAACUGACAGCCACCCAGGCGCCCCUGUGCCCUUGAUUUCUUAACGAAAAUUGAAUGCCACAUUCUUCUAAUUGUUGCUUCUUGGGAACGUUACUGCUAACUACUUUUUCCACCCAAGAACUGAUAGUUAAAACAAUACGUGUUGCGAGAACUGUCAGAAAUCCGGACCAGCAUUGUUCCCGGUCACUCUUCAUUUCCUCCCUCCUCUUAUCUCUUCUCUGACAUUCACCUUUCACUGCCAUGUUGGAGUCAAUCAUGAAGAGACCGUAUUUUAUGCUUUAUUGUGAUGUGUUAGGCCUAUUUCUGAAAAUGAAAUAACUCCGUGAAAGAGAAAAACUCACAACCCAAACAAGACAGAUAUCCAAAAUAAGUAAGAUGAGUAAGUGACAAAAAACAGUGGGCUGGUUUUAGGCAUUUUCUUUUGCGCUCUUGUCCUGAGAGGAAAACUUAAUUCACUUUUAUGUGUCUCAUUUGUCCGUUUGUAAAAAUCUUGUAGUAUUUGUGUGUGUUUCUGUUUUAUAAAAGUCAUAAUAAGCAGAAUUAUGUAACAAGUAUUUGCUAUUUGUAGUGCAAACAGUUGUGCUUAAACCUCAGAAACAUCUGGUAAGGCAGGAGUACCUAUUCUCCCAUUAAAGAAAUGAGAUCAUGAUUCUGCCAGGGUCACUUCUGAUUAUACAUCCUGGGUUGUCUUUCUACACUAUUCUGCUUCUAAGGAGUGGUUAUUAAUAACCAAAUUGGGUUUUUUUUAAUGUUUGUUUCCUUAUUUUUGAGAAUGAGCGAGCCCAUCACAGGAUGGGCAGGGACAAAGAGAGAGAGGGAGAGAGAGAUUCCCAAGCAGGCUCUGUGCUGUCAGUGCAGAGCCCAAUGCAGGGCUCGAUCCCACAAACUGUGGGAUCAUGACCUGAGCCGAGAUCAAGAGUCAGCCACUUAACCUACUGAGCCACCCAGGCACCCUCAUCACCAAGUUUCUUGAUGCUACUGAGGGACCAGGGACUACUUUCUAGCCCAGUAGACUAUGGGAAAAUUCAUGGCAUCUGAAUUUUGGCAUCUGAGGUAAUGAGAAGGGGUUAGUAGAUGUCUUAGUUCUGGCUGCUAUAGUAAGACAUAGCGUGCUAAUACCAUAGACUUGAGGUGGGGCGGCGCUUAAACAACAGAAAUUUGUUUUCCCACAGUUCUGGAGACUAGAAAGCCCAAGAUCAAGGUCCCUCAGGGUUCACUUCCUAGUGAGAGCUCUCUUUCCAACUUGCAGAUGGCUGCCUUCUCCCUGUGUCCUCACACAGUGGAGAGACAGGGAGGUGAACAAAGGGAGGGAGGGAGAGAUAAAGGGAGAGAGAGCGAGCCCUGCCCCCUCUUCCUCUUCUUAUGAAACACUAAUCUCAACAUGUGGGUCCCCCACCUCAUGACCUCAUUUAAACCUAACUAUGCCUCAAAGGCCCCACCUCCAAAUGCUUGGGGCUAGCGCUUCAAUGUUUGUAUUUUGGAGAGACGCCAACGUUUAGUCCGUAACAUAGAUUUAAGGCAAAUGUGUCUGCAUGCUGAAUUUACAGAACUCAGUGACUACUAGAAGUAUAGAAUUAUAAGGUGAACUCACAUCACCUGGCAAAUUUUUCUCUUUACAGAAGCUAAAUGGGAAAAAAUUAAGCGACCUGCCCAACCAUGGUCAAUUUAUCAUUUGCAUUUGGUUCUCUCCCAUUUUCCUGCUACAACUCAUAGCUAUCUCAUACCUACAUCCUUCCUCCCUCCCUAUUAAAUCCCUCAGUUUCCAGCAACCUGACUUACGCCUUCACUGGAUUGCCUGCUGAGCCAAACCCAUUCUUCAGAAAAGAACCAGUGAGACACUGAUUUCCCCAGAAUCCGUUCCCUGAACCCCCAGACUAGUAGAACCAAGACUGCAUUCGCAGUCUGGCCACUCCUGGAGGGAAGAUGACCUCAAAGUCCCUAAGGCAGAUACUGAAAAUUCCAUCCCCACCCCCACCCCGGGGAUCCCUGAGAAGUCCAGGAGCACUUAAGUUCUAGUCAGCUCCAGAAUCGAGUUCUUGGAGCCACUAUGUUAGCUCAGCUUAGGGAAUGUCUUGCUGAGCUGUGUUGCUCAGAACUGUGUUAGCUCACGUGGCAUUGAGAUUUCUUCCUCCGUAUCCAUUAAACGCCAUCUCACUCGACAUUCAUGUGAGUGGGAGUUUGGGAAGACAGAUGGAUUUUUUUUGGUACCUUUGACGACAGCUUAAUACCAGCUGUUGGAGGACCACCUGUGGAGGCUACAGCCACUGCUGGAUGGCAGUACCUCAUGGUAAUAAGGCCUUCUGUCUUCUUCCUUUGCUCCUUUCUCCCAGCCACCAGCUCGGCUACCAAGAGUACCUAGUCGCUUCCUGCACUGGAAAGUUCGACUGUCUUUUCUGUUUGCUCGGCUUCUGCUAAGUCAUUUCCUCUUCCCACACCAUCACUCACCUUCCACGUAAAGGCCGUUCUCUCCCUAAGAGCAACUCUGGUGCCUGCGGUAAAGAAAUAAAUGCCCUACCCCAUUUCGCCAGGUGAAAUCAUGGGCUUAACAACAACUAGACCCUCUGAGCCCAGUCACAGCAUUUCUGGCAUCUCUGCUUUGUUUAAUAAGGUCUUCACUUUUUCACACAUCUAAAAGCCAUCCCAACAGAGUGUUAAUAGUCCUCUGGGGCCCUCACCAGGGUGCUGUUGACUGUGUUACCAAACAGCAUCCCAAUGUUGACAACCUCUCCCUUACCUAGAUUUGUCUUCUGACGCUUUGAUUCAACACCCCCGGGAUCCACUCCCAGGCAGACACUUCUGGAUCCUGCUGGUAUAUGUUAGCACACACGGUUGCUCUUUCGGCAAAGAAUCCCUUUCCUCCUCCACCAGGUCCCGCACAUUCACAGUCAGGAUACACUGAGACUUGACGCUAGAUAUUGACUGGUGUCCAAGAGGAGAGCUGGGAGCAGAUCUUCUGUUUUUAAAGUGCUUGCCCCGUUUGAGGCUUUUGCAGUCUUCAAAUAAAGAGGAGCCAGGCGGGGGUCCAUCUCACAACAAGAGGUCACGGGCAAGAAAGUUCAGGAAACUCUAGCCGGACUCCCCAUCUCAAGUUUCAGAUCUCCAUCCCUUCCCUAUCAGCACCUUGACCGUGGUGUAGGCAACCAAGGUCAGCUGAGAAUUAAGCGUUCCCCGAUGGUUGUCAUUCACAAUUCAGUCCUGUGCCUGACCUGGAGCUUUCUCUGCCCUGUGGCUGAAGAUAGUGGAGGCUAGGGCUUGGGCGUGGUGGUAGGGAUCUCUAAAUAUGCACAAAAUCUCUCUGAUUCUCAGACUUCCCUUUAAAAAUUGCAGUUCCCCCGAGCCUGCCAUUUUCUUUCUUCGUGCAUCAUUGGCGUCCAGACAGCAACAGCUGUGGCUAUGCAACUCCGCCAUCUUUGUAUGUUUUAUUUCCCCCCAGACCUUUCGAACGCCAGACAUACUCCACCGCGGUGCAUCUCUUCGGCUCGGGUGCCACUGCAGUGGACACGUGCCUUAGCAGUGACACCAUGAUGGGGAGUGCCGGUGCCUCUGCUACCAGCAAGGAUGGGUCCUCGGUGCCAGCCAAGAUCUGAUCCAACUCUAGUGUCCCACGCUAACACUGUUGGCUGUUGCCUCAGGUAAAACCCAAACUUAGCCUGAACCCUGUGGGGAUGGGUGCCUAGAACAACAGAUCGCCCCGUAGAGUUGUCCCAUCUUUGAGGCAGGGGUGUCAGGGUUUGUACCCCGCUGUCCGUCACACCCCAAUUCCGGCAAUAUCGAAUCUAGAACAGUGUGAAUCGUCUGUCCCUUGAAGAUGUUGCUUCUUCCUGGGUCUUUGAUCUUGGGCAAAUCACUUACCUCUUCUAAACCUCAGAUAGCUUCUCUGAAAAUGGGGAGAUGAAUUUCUAUUUCAGAAGAUUAUUGGGAGAACUAAAGGAAACAAAUAGAUGUGAAGUCUUUGUGUGGCACGCUUAGAUCAGUGCUGUAAGGAGCACUGUAAAUGUCCGUUCCCAAUCCUCUCCCGCAGUCCCAACAUUUAACUACCCUUUGAUUUGCAGCAGGUUCACCUUUCUGAACAUGGAUGAACUAUGUCAAUUCUCCCUUCCCGCAAAUCUCACAAGACUCCUGUAGCAUCAGAAACAUACUCACACGAGUAUUCUUUUUAAUGGUGGCAAAAGGCACACGACAUAGAAUUUAGCAUUUUAUUUUCGAGAGUUCAGUCUUGUUAAGGGUAUUCACAUUGUUGGGCAACCGAUCUCUAGGACUUUUUCACCUCAUAAACCUGAAACUCUAUUAAAAACCACCUUUCCAUUCCCAGUCUCCCCAGCCCCUGGCAACCAACUUUCUACUAUCUCUGUGAAUCUGACUGCUUUGGAUACCUCAUGUAAGUGGAAUCAUACAGUAUCUGCCUUCUUGUAAUUGGCUUAUUUCAUUGGGCAUAAUGUCCUUAAGGUUCAUCCAUGUUGUGGCAUGUGUCGGAAUUUCCUUCCCUUUUAAGGCUGAAUGAUAAAUAUUCUAGCCUUUGUAUACACCACAUUUUGUGUUUCCAUUUACCCACCAGUGUACCUACACUUGGAUUGCUACCACUUUUUGGCUACUGUGAAUAGUGAUACUGUAAACAUGGCUGUACAAAUAUCUCUUCAAGUACAUGCAUUCAGUGCAAUUGAUGGAUUGUCCGGUAGUUUUAUUUUUAAUCUUUUGAGGAACUUCCAUACUAUUUUCCAUAGUGGCCGCACCAUUUUGCAAUCUCAUCAGCGGGACACAGGGCUUCCAAUCUCUCCAUCUCCAUAUUCUUGCAAACACUCGCUGUGAGAUCGUGGUUUCGUUUUUGUUUUUAUAUUAGCCAUCCUGGUGUGUGUGGAAAAUACUUUUAAACCUAGUUAAUAUCAUUAACAUUUAACACUUUGUUAGUCUCUGUAAUGUUUAAUUUUAUGUGUCAAUUUGACUGGCCUAAGGGAUGCCCAGAGAGCGAUAACACAUUAUUUUUGCGUGUGUCUGUGAAGGGCAUGGUCACAAGAGAUGAGCAUUUGAUUUGGUAGACAGAAUAAAGAAGAUCAACCUCACCGAUGCAGGUAGGCAUAAUCCAAUCUGUUGGGGGCCUGAAUAGAACAAAAAGUCAGAGGAAGGGCAGAUUUGCUCUCUGCUGAGCUGAUACAUCCAUCAUCUCCUGCCCUCAGACAUAAGCAGUCCUGGUACCUGGGCCUUUGCACUUGGACUAGGACUUACACCAUUGGCUUUCCUAGUCUACCGCUUGCAGAGGGCAGAUUGGAAUGUCCCACGCUUCCAUAAUCACAUCAAUCGAUUCCUAUAAUAAAUAUAACAUAACAUAAAUGUGCAUAUGUCUGCAUUUCAUGUACAUGUAAAGAUAUCUCCUGUUGAUUCUGUUUCUCUAGAGAACCGUCACUAAUACAGUCUCUAUAACUUUUUGCUACCGACAGGCAAAUCUUCCCGGUUUGUAGGAGCUCAAAAAUCAUUAGCAUGCUCAUUUCAAAUUCCAAGUUUUCCUUGAAAGUUAAGGUUUCCAAAGCUUGACUCUUCUAUUAUUCUGUUGAUAUAAUGCUAUAUAAUAUGAAUAAAAACAAGAAAGAGAACUGUAACAUAUGAUCCGGUAUGCAAUAAUGAAAGUCCCUAAAUCUCUGAGUGCAAACAUAAAUGAUUCUUUAUUAUUUUUUAUUUAAAAAUUUUUUUACUGUUUAUUUAUUUUUGAGAGAGAGAGAGAGACAGAGUGUGAGCAGGGGAGGGGCAGAGAGAGAGGGAGACACAGAAUCCGAAGCAGGCUCCAGGCUCCGAGCUGUCAGCACAGAGCCCAAUGUGGGGCUCGAACCCACAAACUAUGAGAUCAUGACCUGAACCGAAGUCAGACACUUAACCAACUGAGCCACUCAGGUGCCCCAGUGAUUCUUUAAUUCUUAAUUUUAAAUCAAGGCUUUUUUUUUUUUUGCUUCAAUGCAUAGUCCAACUACAAUUCAUUAACUCUAGGAUGGAUCCUGUCUGAAGUCUCAUGGGCACAAUUUCUUACAUGUUUUGUUAGCAAUAAAUGAACGGAAUAAUUUUAACUUAUGUUCUCCAUUCCGUAUUUUAAAUGGAACAUUAUAGCAUAGAAAAAUAAACCAUUACAUCAUAAUACCUACAGAAAAAAAAAAAGUAGUGUUUUGUUAAGUGUUGACAGAUUUGUACCUGGAUACUCAGUCCUAUAUCUUAGGUGUCUUUUCCUAAAGUUAUAACCUUAAAAAAGAUCACAUUCCAAAAUAUGUAAAAUGAGAGCCGCAGAAAGAGAGGAAAGAGAGGAGGGGACAAAAAGAAUAUUUGAAGCAAUAAUGGUCAGAAUUUCCCAGUUUGAUGAAAAACAUCAAUCUACACAUCCAAGAAGCUCUAACUGCCAAGUAGGAUGGAAAGAACAGGGGUAAGGAGGAAUUAACUUUGUCAAGGAUUUCAUGUUUAACUUUGUAACUAUGUGAAUAAAUUUUCAAAUUUAAGAUUAUUUUUUCUAAUUGAUUCUUAUUUGUAAUUGAAUUACUUGGUUAUUUUUGUCUUUACUCUCUAUCUCACUCCAGGGGUGACAGCAUUGUAGGACAGGGAGAGUCGGUAGAAGCUUAGGUCAUUCUGCUGUCUAAAACCUAAUGCCAUGGUGGGGAAGGGUAUGGAAAGGAAUAUGAAAAACUGCCAUUGUCAAAACCCAUAUGUUAUUAAGAGCAUAAAAUCAAACUAAAUAAAAGCCUUAAUGUGCAUGCAAAUGGAAUAAAAAUCUGAGUGAAGUUCAGCCUAAGGUGGAACGCUUUAAAUAUUCUGUAAGUUCAUGGUCCAUGUCUCAUUUGCUUAGCAAUGUUCCCAUGAAGCUUAUAGUCAUGGCCUAGAAGUCUAAUAUUUUGUUAAAGUUUAGCAGAUCCUUUAUUAGGACAAUUUUAGGGGUAAUACAUUUAAAACAACAUGAAAUUAGGAAUUUUUGUAUUGCAAAACUGUUCUGAAAAGUGUUCGUAAAUCUUACACCUUGUAAAACACAAGCACAAAGCUAAAAGCCAUAAACUGCCUUGGAAAGUUGUGAUUGAAAAUGAGAUCAUUCAAAUCCAAAAUCGAUUUUCCUGAAUUACAAAGAAUAUUUACAGAAGCUGGAUGAUUAAUUUUUAGCAUUUGCUAAUUUAUCUUGACUUUUCUUUCACCAAAAAAUAAAAUAAAAUAACUGAAAGGUGUGGAGAAUAUGGUGGAAAAUAUUUUUGUUGGUUUUUUUACUUAAAAAACAUAACAUCCAAUUUAUUAAAAACUUAAAAGAAUAGUAUAAAGAUUCCUGUAUGCCUUUUGUUUGGUUUCCCAACUGUAAAUAGUUUAUACAUUUACUUUCUCAUUCUGUCUCUCUGUCUCUCUCUCACACACAUAUGUGUAAUUUUUUUCUGAACUAAUUGAAAAUAAAUUGCAAACGUGACUCUAGAUAUUUUUUGGUGUAUAUUUCCUAAAAUACAAAGACACUAUUCUAUAUAAUCACAGCACCACCAACUAUAUAAUGAAAUAAACACUGAUGUAGCAUGACUGUCUAAUCCACAGGACCCAUUCAGAUUUUGUCAAAUUUUACAAUAAUUCCAUUUGGAGAAAAGAAUUGUCUAGAGGUCCAAGAUCAAAUCCAGGAUGAUUCGUUGCAUUUAGCUGCCAACUCUCUAGACUCUUGCAAUUUAAACAGUUCUUCCACCUUUCUUUGACUUCCUUGAACCUGACAGCUUUUGGUGGGAACCUGACACAAUUUGGUGAUAAUUUGACAGUUAUUUUCCAUAAUACUGCUUAAUUUUGAUGAAUAUAAUGACAUACGUUUCUUUCUAAAAAUGAACAGCAGAAAGAAACUUCAAACUACUGUAAAAUAAUCAGCAUUCUCUCUACGCCCUAUAUCUCACCUCAGCGCUGCAGUUUAAAUAAGAAAAAGCACCCUUACAAGAAAGGGAAGAAAAAGAAGGGAGGUGAAAGAAAAUGAAAUCAAUAAGAAAAUCUUCAGAACGAGAGAAAUAACUUCUGCAACAUUUUAUUUAAGCCAUAAUAAUCUCUCAUAAGUAUUAAAUCCUAGAUCUAAUCCAGUAAAAAAAUAAUAAUAAUAAUAACCAGUAUCUAUGUAUAAAUAGGGCACUCUAGUAAAUAGUUCAAUGUAGGUAGGUACCUAAUGUCUCUUUCUACGCUUGAAAUUCUGGCUUCGUCUUUGUACUUUGCAUUGCCUGAAGCUUUUGCAGAACCAAACUAUGAAUGUCUCGCACCCAAUUCCUCCAUAGAAAAGUUUUCUCUUUAUUGGAACUCAUCUCUUUUACUUCAUUGUCUGAUUUUCAGCUGGUGUUUUGGCAGAUUGGUGUUGGGCAUCUGUUAUUUAAUGACUGCAUUGUCAUUCUGUUAUCAUUUAUGUUGUUACUUAUUUCUCAAUAAAUGUAAUUCAGUCAACAAGUAAACUUCUCUUCCAUAAAAACAAUGAGUAUUCAUAAUCAUAAAAAUUAUUUUCUGGAUGAAAUUUUCCGUUAUGUAUUUGCAACAUCAGACUAAAAAUUUUUUUUAAUUAUUUUUUAACAUUUUGAGAGACAGAAAAAGACAGAGCACAAGCAGGGGAGGGGGCAGAGAGGGAGGGAGACACGGAAUCCAAAGCGGGGCUCCAGGCUCUGAGCUGUCAGCACAGAGCCUGGUGCAGGGCUGAAACCCACAAACCAUAAGAUCAUGACCUGAGCCAAAGUGAGAUGCUUAACCAACUGAGCCACUCAGGCGCCCCCCAGACUACAAAUUUUUGAGAAGUAUAUACAUAAUACCUAGGAAUGCAUUUGCUGCGGUGACAUCAUCACAUUUCAUUCAUAGAAACAUUCACAUUUUAUUAUCUUUAAAAAUUAUACAGUGCUUUGAUCAACACGGCAAUGGCUGGUUAAGCUCUCAUUUCUUUCAUGAAUCCUGUGGUUUGUGAUCUAUUACUCACUGAUCCAGUUCCCCAAGAUUUUAUAAAAAAUCUUUACAGUAUUAGCUCUGGAUCGCAUAGAGUUUUUAUAAAUCAGAAUGAUAUUUUAACUUACCUAAAGGAUAUAGGUUAAUUCCUUGCAAUUUCCCUCGUAACUCCUAUGUAUUCUCCCUUUUUUUUCUGUACAGACUUAUCAUGCAGCUCCAUAGGCCCAAGAGAUGCAAUAAUGUAACAGACAUGAUCUUUUAAGGUAAUUUUAUCCAACAUUCUUAUUUGGAAGGCAUUUGAGAGGAGCACAGAGAAACCAAGUGCCCAGGUUUCCUGAUACCAGUUCUGCAGUCCUUGCUACACUACGCACCAAGGGACCUGCCGUCUUCAUAAAGUUGAUGUCUUCCGCAAAAACAAAACAACACAAAACAAGAAGCCGGCACAGAGUAUGUUCUGUGUAUCUAUGACAGAACACCGAAACACCCUCUAUUUGGGCAGGCUGACCUCCUCGUGGCGAAUACAGUUUGGGGAGGACGGAGAUAAUAGCCGAUUAGAACAGACCGCACAGCCAGAUCAGGCACAUACCCAGGCCAGCUGUCCAGGCCUUGCCGACAACCUUCUAUAGCCUCACCUCUAAAUAAACAUGUAACAAAUAUCUCAUGGAUAUCCAUUUGAAAGGUCAGCAAAUGAUUAGCCUGCCCAGAGGGCCCUCAUGUUUCUACCCAGCCCUGCGUGAUUUGAGACCAUUUCCUGCACCAGGGUGCCAAAAGAGAAAUGGGAUGCAGUUUCAACUAGCCAUUUGAGAAAUUCUAAUCAAACCUUCCAGAGGCUUUAACCAAAUAAACCAAUCCAAUGUGUAUUUUAAAAAUGGUCUGAGAAUGUAAAGGGCAAGGAAAGGGAAUGGGAGACAGAACAGAGUAGGGAUAUAAACAUAACAUAGAACAGCCGGAUAAGAAAUGGAAGUUUUAAUCAAGUAACUGCUGUUUUGUACAACUGGUUUGGUUAGCAUUUACUAACAGACGAGACUUGCCUUUGCUGGAUUGAUGUGAAUAGACUGUUUCCUUCUUGGUCGGGCAGACGUGAUAUGCAGAGGAAGCAAAGUCGUAAUUUACUUGUAAGAGGAGUUACAUCAGUAUCGUGAUGGCAAAAGAUGUCCCUCAUUUUUGUCGCCCCGACAGCAAAAGUUCAGCAUCCAUGGGCAAGGGUGUGUUUGCGGUAACUGUGGCAUCCAACACCACCUGCUAAGGGACCCAGGACAAGUCUCACCUAUCAAUUCAUCAGGCAAUAGGCAGACGGACCUUGGUCCUAGCUGUGGAUCUUGUAAUGGCACCUUAACUGGCUUCAGCCCCUCUUAGCUGUGGUCCAGAAGCUCCUGGAGAACACUGACUUAGGCAAUUGCCUGUGCACGAAAGAGCCUUUGGGGAAGUCCACGAUUACAGAGAAGAAGUGCCAGCACACUGCUGCAGCAAAAAACCAAUUUGGCUGCCUUCGAGAUGGCAGUAAAGACUGGAGGAGAUGACGCGAGGAUAGCCACGCAGAAGUUCAAGGAACAGGAACAAUCAAGGUCAUGUAACACUGCCAGAAGCUCGUAAUAAGCUUCCUGUAAGCAAACUGAACACAUGAGGAUCUGCAGUUUACCAGACAAAUAAAUCAAAAUAGCAGCUUUAAGGAAAUUCAGUAAGCUAUAAGAAAACAAAGCCAAAUUGGUACAGAAACUGUGACACAGAGUGGAGGUUCCUCAAAAAUUUUUAAUGUAGAACUACUAUAUGAUUCUUCAAUCCCAUUUCUGUGUAUGGAUCCAAAGGAAAUGGAAACAAGAUCUUGACAAAAUACCUUCACUUCCAUGUCAGUUCAGCACUAUGCACGGUAGCCAGGAUGUGGAACAACCUAAGUGUCCGUCAACAGACGAAUGGAUAAAGAAGAUGCGAUGUGUCGCAUUAUUACGUUGUGUUGUAAUGAAAUAUGUAACGAGAUAUUAUUCAGCCACAAGAAGGAAGGAAAUCCUGCCAUUUGCGACCAUAUGGAUGGACCUUGAGGGCAUGAAGCUAAAUAAGAUAAAUCAGAGAAAGACAAAGCCUGUAUGGUAUCACUUCUAUGUGGAACCUAAAACUACUGAACUCAUAGAAACAGAGAGUAGAAGGGUGGUUACCAGUGGCUGAGCAGUGGGGGAAAUGGAGAAAUGUUGGUCAAAGGGUACAGACUUCCAGCUAUAUGAUGAGUAAGUCUGAAGCUAAUAAUUCUGUAUUCUUCUCUAUUGAAAGUUGUUAAGAGAGAAAAUCUUGAAGAGUCUCACCUGCAAAAGGGAAAACUGGUAAUUAUAUGACAUGUUGGAGAUGUUGGCUGACACUGUGAUCGUAGCAAUCAUUUUGCAAAAUACAAGUUUAUCAAGUCAACACCUACAUCUUAAAGUUACACAAUGUCAUGUGUCAGUUGUAUCUCAGUGAAGCUAGAAAAUAAAUGAAUCGUGUAGCAAUUUCAGUUAACAUUGAUCGGUUACGUCAUAUUACUGAACAUCCUGCCAGAUCCUUUUGCGUGCAAUCUUACUGAAUUCUCAUAAUCACCUAAAGAAAUGUGAUUUCCGCUGUGUGUGCAGACCAUCAUCCUGGUUGCUACAGAAGUUAGGAGUUAGGAGUAGGAAAAGGGGAGAAAAUGAAAAAACAUCUACACGUGAACCCUCAUGUUUGUACUGGCUAUCUACUUAUUGGUGCAAAAUGAAUCCACUGAAAACUUAGUGACUUGAAAACAAUACUCCUUUGUCCUCUCUCACAGUGUCCACGCAUCAGGAAUGGGGCAGGACGUGUUGGACAUGCCUUUCCUCUGCAAUGCCUGCGGCCUCAGGUGGAACACUCAAAGUCUGGAGGCAGAAAUCACCAGAAGAUUUACUCACAUACAUCUAGUGGUUGAUUCUGGCCUUGGGUCACAGAUCUGGCCAGUCCCAGGCUUCCUUACAUCAUAGCUCUGGAUUCUGAGGUAAGCAUCAUGGAGGGCGUAGGAGAGGAGCUCGAACCUUUCUGUGACCCAGCCUAAGAAGUCACAUGGGAUCCCUUCAGUCAUACCCCACGGGGCCAGUUGAGAUAGUCACAAAUCUUGUCCUGUUUCCAGAGGAGGGACUAUAACCCCAGCAGCCCCAUCUCUGGGUGGGUCAGUCAUACUGUAAAAAGAGUCUUUGGGAUGGGAUAAAUACAUUGGAGCAGCCACCAAUGAGAAACAGAAUUCCCCACAACCUUAUACUUUGGUAAAGCCUUUAGGGUGAGCUCUGAAGUUAGCCAACACUAAGAAACAUGCCUCAUGCAGGACUCCAUGGGUGGUCAGAGAAGGGAAGCAUUAGAGAUGAUUUCAGACUAAGGAUUAAGGCGGGCUUUAUAGAGGAAGCAGUAUUUGAAUUCUAUCUGACUGGGAAGCAUUUUGAUUCGUUUAUUCAUUGUGUGCCUACUUGGUGUAUGGAUGGUAAUGUGCUAAGUGGAGAAUAUAAUGGAAAAUUCUACUCCCAAGGCACAAGGUUGAAGGUGAUCUCAAAAGAGGGCCUCAGGACUUCCUCAGUGGGGAACUAUUCGUUUGCACCCUUGCUUCUCUCCUCUCACCAUCAUAUUCCUUCUUGUGUUGCCGGAAGCUCGCAGAGGUGCAGAGAUCAUGAAUCAUACUUCCCCUGACUUCCCUUUAGUCUCUGCUCCAAUAGAGAGCAGGACCAUGGGAGACAUGGCACUGAAUAAUUUGGGGACCAAGCUGGAAAUUGCUUUGUAUUUAUUUUUUUAGUUUUUUUUUAAGUUUUAUUUAUUUAAGUAAUCUCUACACCCAACGUGGGGGCUCGAACUCACAACCCAGGGAUCAAGAGUCACAUGCUCUUCUGACUGAGCCAGCCAGCACCCCUGUUCAAUAUUUCUAAAGGAAAAAAUUCUACAAAACACUGAAUGGAAUGAAAUAAUCUAUUUGUAGACUAUUGAGUUGCCAGUGUUUAAAUCUUCAAAGAAACCAAAUUUCUUGUGAUGUGUGAACUCAACAAUUUAAAACACACAGAAGCAAAUAUUUUUAUAGUUUCUCUUUUCUGUUUUAUUUCAAUAUAUCCCAUUUCUUCUCUCUACCCAUGUGAUUCCACAUGGAAUAGAGAUCAAAGCUUUUACUUGUUGAUGAGGAAAUGCACAGAAAAAUCUAAACAUUUACAGUAAUUAACGGUUGGACCAGAGAAACUAGAAAUGUCAAAGCCAUGACUGCGACUUUUUAAAUCCCGUCAAUUAUUCUGUCCCUGAGCAAGUGAAACUUUCAGCAAUACUAGGGCAUUGUCUUUUUUUAAAUAGCUCCAAGUCUUGUAUUUUACUACAGAACAACUUCCUAAAGUAGGAUAUGCCCCAGAUUUAUACAAGAGCAGUUCAGUAAAAUAUUCACUGUUUUUAAACCCGUACACAUAUUUAAAAAAAAAAAAAACCAAAAACUGACUUUGGGAACUCACUGUAAAUUCCAAGCCUCUGUUCUGAUCAUGAAACAUUGACCAUGACUCAACUGUGAUUUCUUUCCUCAUAUAGAUGAGAUUUGCUUAUAGCUUUAGACUUAUCUUGAAAGUAGAUCAUCAAAUACCUUUACAGUUAAGAAUUUUGCAGAUUGUAUUUCUAAUAGAGGAUCAAGGCAUGGGUAUUUAAAAACCAGUGAUUUCAAAAGGCUAAGAAUUUCAUAGGGUAAGAACAUUAAUUUACUAGGUUGGAAAAUAUUUUUUUACCACAGAGAUGGAAUGAUCCUAAACUCUUGUUUCUCCCUUCUGAAGCUCUUUAGAAGUGGCUCAGAGAUAAAGUUCAAAUACAACGAACUUUAGAUAAACCAGCUCAUCAGGUUUAAGCGAAUUCAGAGGCCUUCCCACUGUGAGUAAAACCCUAGAUAGUCUGUUAUACUGUCAGAAGCAGCAUUCUGUGAUUCACAUCAAGCCUUAAAAGUACAGAAUGAUUACUAGGCGUGGUCUAAGCAGCUCAAGGCAGCCACAUACUUAUUCAUAUGGUGAAUACAAAUGGUGAAUUCAUUAGGUAAAACCACACUACCAAAGAAUAAGGAUCUAAAAAUAUGAGGGUAUGUUGUAAGAAUGUAUCAAAAUAAUAUAAGGAUCCACAAUAAAACUAGCUGAUAAGAACCCCAAAAUAUGAGAAGUGGGGAAGAACCACCACCAAUGAUAAGACCCACUUGGCAUCUGCACUCAUGUGGGAGGAAAUGGAAAGAGCAAAAUGGGGCAUCCGAGUACCCUGAGAAAAGGGGGAUCCAAAAUCACCAGCAGGUACUCUCUAAGCAUGAAAAGACUGUCAGAGGAGUCUACAAAUUUCGUUCAUGGAGGAGAGCAAGGGAGCCUGAGGAAAGGUCAGCAGGUGCCAAAAUGGUCUUGGUCCUUGGAAUUCACAAAACUUGUAAUCCUGAGCUCACUUCUAGAGCAGACCUCUCACUAAGGAGAAAUCGAUGACAAUCUAGGUUGCAGGACAUCAGGGCAAAGAAAAGAGAAAUCCGGAUAAACAUGGGGGGAAAGAGAGCAGAGGAAACAGAGCUCAGAGAAUAGGCCAUGUCUUAAUUAUUUCAUAGAAAGAACAGACCAAGGAGCUUUAGAGCUAUGAAGCUAGAAAUAUAUCCUGGCCCACCCCUGCCUUCUUAAAAGUACAGAAAAACUCCUAUCACUUAAAAAUGAGCGACAGAGGGGCGCCUGGGUGGCUCAGUUGGUUGAGCAGCUGACUCUUGAUUUCGGCUCGGUCAUGAUCUCAGGGUUGUGGGAUGGAGCCCUGUGUCAGACUCCAUGCUGACAGCUUAAGAUUUUUUCCUCUCUCUUGCUCUUUCUCCCCACCUCUGCGCCUCCCCCGCCCCCCCCCACCAUGCACGAUCUCUCUCUCUCUCUCUCUCUCUCAAAAAAAGAAAAAAAAAUGAGCAACAGGAAAGAAUCAUAGUCAAUUUCUAUACAAUGUUAUUAUUAUUACAAAGAAAGAAAAAAGUGAGGGAGGAAGCAAGGGAAGGAAGAAUAUCCUUACAAUCAAUGAAAGAAAAACAUGCCCAGAGAGCAAAUAAAACUGUUACCUAAUGUCUCAAUAUGAACUAAAAAAAAAUUAACAUAAUUGUAGAAAGUAUUAAAGAAUAGCAUAAAUCAGAAUUGGAAAAAUGUGGAAAUAAAGUGAUUGGAGAAAAGGAAUAUUUGAAGAAGUUGUCGGAACUCAAAAACCACAUUUAUUUAUUUAGUUACUUAUUUGAACAUUUUUUUCAAAAUAAAGAAAAAUCAUGCAAACUGGAAUAAACACAAUACAAAAUGCCCUAAAAGAGCGUUAUAAAAUUGAAAGAACAAAUAUUUUUAAAACCAAAAAUGUCAUUUUUGAAGGCAGAAGGGAAGACCCAAUAUACACAUAGGAGUCCCCAAAGAAAUAAGUAAUAGAUGAGAACAAAUAAAUCUGUAAUUUAAGCAAAUUUUCCUGAAUGAAAAAAGACUUGAGCCUAACCUGGAUACUUGAGAAUAUUGGCCCACAGCUGUCAAUACUGACAUGUAUUCCAGGAACCCACAGUCUUCAAAAGGAAAAAAAGAAAACCUUUGGGUAUUCAGCAAAAAUACCAAGUCAGUCAGUAAGAAAGUAAAGAAAAUCAGUUGCCGUCUCACUUUUCAGGAGCAACACCAUAGGCUAGAAGACAAUGGCAUGAUAUUUUAAAAUAUGCAAAAAGGAAAAUUCAAGCCAAGAAUUUUGUAUUCCACUAAAUGGAUCUUCAAGUUUAAGAACCAUGUACUGAUGGCUUUGAAUUCCAGGAAUAUGGUUUUGACAAAUUCUCCCUGUCAAUUUAUUACAUAAUUAGCUUCAGACUACCAAUAUGGAAGGGGAUACAUUGACGUAAUACUCAAUAAUGGUUGUGAGAUAGAAUAGUAUUUAGUAAUGCAGUCUGGUUAUGUUACAACCAUCGAAGCUUGAUGGAAGAAUGGCCAGAGUAUAUGACAGUAGAGUAACUUCAUUUCUAGGCAUUAAGUAGUAAAAGGACACUACAUCAAAUCAGAUGGUAUGGAGAUGAAGAGAAGAGAAAAUAUGAGGACACUGGCUAAUUUCAAUAUUGCUCCUAGUGGGGAAAAAAAUAGGCAAUAACCAAAAAAGAGAGCACUAAAUGUUUUAUAUAUAGUAUAAAGACAACCUUGAGAACAAAAAUAUAAACCUUUCUGGAGAACAUAUUCACUUACACAUUUAAAAGAAAAAAGAACACUUUCUUAAAGUUUAUUUAUUUAUUUUGAGAGAGAGCGAGAGAGCAGGGAAGGGCAGAGAGAGAGAGAGAGAGAGAAAGAGAAUCCCAAGCAGGCUCCCAGCUGUCAGCAUGGAGCCCGACGUGGGGCUCCAUCCCAACGACCAUGAGAUCAUGUCCUGAGCCAAAAUUAAGAGUCGGACAUUUAGGGGCGCCUGGGUGGCGCAGUCGGUUAAGCGUCCGACUUCAGCCAGGUCACGAUCUCGCAGUCCGGGAGUUCGAGCCCCGCGUCGGGCUCUGGGCUGAUGGCUCGGAGCCUGGAGCCUGUUUCUGAUGCUGUGUCUCCCUCUGUCUCUGCCCCUCCCCCGUUCAUGCUCUGUCUCUCUCUGUCCCAAAAAUAAAUAAAAAACGUUGAAAAAAAAUUUUUAAAAAGAGUCGGACAUUUAACCGACUGAGCCACCCAGGCGCCCCAGGAAGAACAUUUUAAUGGUUUCCAAAGAAUGAAGGAUGAAAUAGGGUAGAGGGAUCAUAAGUUAGUCCUUUUUUGAAGAUAUCUUGUUCUGUAGAUUUGACUUUGGAAACUUAUAAAUAUUUUAUACAAUCUUAAAGCAAAAUGAAAAUUCUAAAAAGCAGUUUCUGGAGUUCCAUUUCUGGGAUGAAAACAUACGCACCUCCAUGGACCCAACCCAAGCAAAGUUCAUGAAAAUUAUUCUUCUAACUUUUAAGUCUCUGGGAAUUUCCCAAGGGCAUACAGCAAAUGAAUCACGAUUUAGUCAAGAAAAUCUCCUGAAACUUAUAGGAAAAAUGACAGUGUGCACUUGAGCUAUAACCCACCCACUCCCAGCCCUCUGCCAGCUAAGUUUGACAGAAGCCCCACUCUGGGCGGAUGAGGCCGAGAAGACAGUUCUCCCUUCCUCCUCGACUCCUAAAGAAGGAUUGUAGUAUCUCACCAGGAGAGGCAGUCUGCCAGCAUUUCUCAUCCCCACCAACUGUAAGAUGAAAAAGCUAAAUUCCUGCUGAGAACAGCUGAGAGGUCAGGGCUCCCUUCCCCCACCUGGUCCCUCCUCCUCAGACAGACAGGCAGAGGCUGACUCCCAGUCACAGCAUGCCAGGAAUGCUCCGGGGCUCUGACCACCUUCACCCCAGCUGACUUGUAGGGCAGGGCGCUUCGGGUGGCGGGGUGGGGGGUGGAAUUCACAACUGCAAAGGCCUACAUAAAAACAAGAAAAAAGAUCUUAAAUCCGCAACCUAUCUUUCACCUUCUGUCCCUAGAAAAAGAAGAAAAAACAGCACAAAGCAAGCAGAAGAAAGGAAAUAAGGAUUAGUAGUGAAAUAAAUAAAACAGUGUAAGAACAAUAAGUCAGUGAAACCAAACGUUGGUUCUUUGAAGAGAUCAAAAAUAUUGGUGAAACUUUACCUAGAUUAAGAAAGAAGAGGGCGCCUGGGUGGCUCAGUCGGUUAAGCGUCCAACUUCGGCUCAGGUCAUGAUCUUAAAAUCUGUGAGUUCGAGCCCCGAGUCGGGCUCUGUGCCGACAGCUCAGAGCCUGGAGCCUGUUUCAGAUUCUGUGUCUCUCUCUCUCUGCCCCUCCCCUGUUCAUGCUCUGUCUCUCUCUGUCUCAAAAAUAAAUAAACGUUAAAAAAAAAAAAAGAAGAAAGAAAGAAGAAAAGAGAAGAUUCAGAUUAAUAAAAACAUAAAAGAAAGGGGCACCUGAGUGGCCCAGUCGGUUAAGUGACUGACUCUUGAUCUCGGCUCAGGUCAUGAUCUUACAGUUCGUGGGUUCAAGCCCCGCAUCUCUGUGCUGAUGGCGUGAGCCUGCUUAGGAUUCUGUCUCUCCUUCUCUCUGCCCCUCCCCUACUUGUGCUCUUCCUCCCUCUCAAAAUAAAUAAAUAAACUUAAAAAAAAUUUUUUUAAACAUAAAAGAGGAAAUAUUGCUACCAAUACAUAAAUAAAAAUAAUUGUAAAGGAAUACUAUGGGGGUGCCUGGGUGGCUCAGUCAGUUAAGUGUCCGUCUCUUGAUUUCCACUCAGGUCACAAUCUCACGGUUGGUGGGUCUGAGCCCCACAUCGGACUCCAAGCUAACAGUGUGGAGCCUCCGUGGGAUAGUCUCUCUCUCUGCCCCUCCCCCACUCACACUCACACAAUCUCUCUUUCUCAAAAUAAAUAAGCUUUAAAAAAAAAAAAAAAGGUAUACUAUGGACAACUGCCUGCCAACAAAUCAGACAACAUACAUGAAAUGGACACAUUGUAGGAGACCUACAGACUACCAAAAGACCCAAAAGAAAUAGAAAAUCUAAUAGACCCAUAAUCAGUAAAGAGAUUGAAUUAGUAGUCAAAAACACUUCCCACAAUAAAAAGCCUGGGACCAAAUGGCUUCACUGAUGAAUUCUACCACAUAUUUGAAGAACUGGUACCAGUUCCAAAGCAUUCCAAAGUCAAAGUGUUCCAAAGUACAAGCGUUUCCAAAAACAUAGAAGAAGAAACAAAGAAACACUUCCUGACCCAUUUCGCAUAUCAUAUAUUGAAUAGGAGACUUGUUUACGGAACACAUAAAAAACUCUUAAAACUUAAUAAUAAAGAGGCAAGCCAAUUUAAACAAUUUUGAAAAAAAAAUUCCUAAAAGAAGAUACAUAAGUGGUCAAUAAGCACAUAAAAAGAUGGUCAACAUUACUAGCCAUCAGGGAAAUGCAAACCGAAACCAAAAUUAGACCCCAGUUCACACCUACCGGAAAGCUAUAACAAAAGAUGGGUGACAAAUGUUGGCAGGGACGUGGAGAAACUGAAACCCUCCUAUGUCGCUGGUGAAAAUGUAAAAGAUGCAGAAACUCUGGAAAACAAUCAGCUCCUCGAAAUGUGAAACAUGGGGUUGUCACGUGACCUGGCCAUUCCACUCCUGGUUUAUACUCAAGAGAAGUGAAGACACAAUGUCCGCUCAAGAACUUGCCCACAGGCAAAAUAGACGGUAAUUACCCACCAUAAUUAAGUGAAACGUACAUGUUGAACUAUAAAAGAAAAUACAACUUGCAAGAUCUGAUAACUGGAAAAAAUUGACAACAUAAACUCACCACCAGAAUACCAGAGUAACAGUGUCUUUUCUGGUUGUCGUUGUUGGUUUGUUUGUUUCCUGCCUCGGGCUUGGGUUUGGCUUUAGAUCCAUGAGGCACUAUUUUCAGUACAGAAAACAGGUGCAGCUUUGACGAAACAAACAAGAAAACAACUCGCAGCUUUGCGGUGUGUUCAGGGCAGCUCAUGAGUGACGUUCCAAGGCAGCUAAGGCAGAGCCAGAAAUCACUUCCCGUUCGAAGUACAAUCAUCAGGGAGUCAAAAUCAGAGCUGUAAUGAAACUUCCUAGACUGUUGCUUCGUCGGGACAUUCAUAUGUGCAUCCACAGUGUGACCUGUUUGAAGUUAGAAGUAGAGCUUGAAUGUCUGACUAGCCCAUAUGCAAAAGCAAUUCGGAAGAUUGCUGGAGAAGCGCCUUCAUGCACAGAAAGGCUGAGGGAUGCGUAGCAGCUGAAAUUGCAAGGGGAGAAGUCUGAGGCUCGGCUGGCGGAAGCCACCAGCCGGGUCCUGAGCAACGGUGGGACAGCCUGGGCAGCAUCUCUGGCCUCCUGCCCUCCUGGGAGCCCCCCACCAGACAGCAGCAGCAGCAACAGAUCACAGAACAAGGUGCCAUCACCUGUUCUGAGACGUGCCUAAGGCUCAGCGGUACCCAUGCGUCGUCCCUUCCGCUUUGUGCCAACCUCAUUUCUCAACUCGGCAUCUUCACAAGUCCCAGAAACAUUGUGUUCGGACUAAAAACAUUAGUUUUUACAACUAAAGACUUUUCUGAAGGUUUCACAUGAGAAAUGGAAAAGAAAGAUCAACCCCACACUGCAAAAGAAACCACUCUAAAACUCUUCAUUGAACAGGUGAAUCUCCAAGGUUCUGUCCUCCCCACCAGGCCACUCCUGGCUUCCUUCCUCAACCUCCGCCACCCCCCCCCACUUUAUUACGUAGAGAAAAUCAUUCUUGCCCCAUUUCCAUCUUCUCCCUUCAAACAUAAUCUUCACAGUGUUGAGCAAACAAAGGGCUUUCUGGAACCCAGGAUCAGCCCUCCCUGUUCCCCAUAAACUGUGGGAUUAUAAAUUAUCUUUUAAUUUAUUAUUAUUUAAUUAAUUAAUUUUAUUUAAAUUAUUUAGUAAUUUGAUAAAAAUUAUUUAAUUUUAUUUAUAAAUUUAUUAAUUUAGUUAUUUUUUAAUUGAAUCCUCUAGGAUAGGAUUUGGAAUUGAAUCUCAGUAUUAUUUUCAAGGGACAUCGUGUAAAUACUGAUGCAUCUAAAUCCCAGGUAACAAUAAGUUACAGUUAAUAGGUUUGUACUACAUCAAAUGCAUACUUACUACAGGUACCUGCAGAGAAUUCCUGACAAAUGCCAACUAUAAAAGAAAUGUUAACUGCGCAUUUAACAGAUGGAAUUUUAGAGACAAUGUAUUACUGACUAAUACCCCGCUGAUACGCUUUAUUUCCUCAAAUAACACGCAACAGUUUCCAUCAUUUAAAUAAUAAUGACUCAUGAGAAUUCUUCCACUAUUAGAGUCAGAAGAUUGCAGGAAGCCCGAAAGGAUACUGAAUGACCACCGCGUUCCUUCACUUUUCAGGCAGCUUGUCACUUGAUGGACUAGUAUCAGUUGCUUUCCAGAACAUCCCAAAGGUGAGACUCCUACAGAGUCAUUGCUUUAGCUCUGUUGUCAUUCGAGGAAAUAGUCUGGUGCCCCUUCAUAGAGAACACCUGGCUUUCCUGAGUUCCCAGCAAUGUGGACAACCCAUGUUCAAAUUCAUAAGAGAAACUCCUCAGACUUUGAACACUCUAGACUCUGUGUCAGCAGUAACUGGGCAAGACCACAUCACCAGAGGCUUAGGAGUCAAAGGAGCAAAAAUGAAACCAUAAUCAUUAAAUACUAAUGGCAACUUAAUUACUUUCUCAGAGAAACAGAACCAUUUGAGACCAUCGGAAAGCAGAAAGUGAGAUAAUAAUUCAGCAAGAGCUUUCAUGCUGUUCGAUGCUAAGAGUAUCUCGUGGAUGUGCCCAGCCUCUGCCCAUUGUCCUUUAAAGUUAAUAUAUGCCUUUCCAGAACCUCGGGGACUCAUUUACAAAUAAUUACAAAUAAACAGAUUUCCUUUCUGAAUAGCUGGACUUCUGACACUACUUAUAGAACAUGUGUAUGACCCACACAUCAGAUUGCUAGGAUUUUAAGGACUCUUAACCACUUAUAUAACACACGAUAAGAAGUUGGCAAAUUGAUUCACAAAAGAUGAAAGCUCGAGGUAGGACUGGCCACAUAUUGGGGAAUGCUGUGGUCAGUGCAUCCGGCCCACAUCAGUCCUGCAACGCAGGACCAGAAGUACAUCCCUCUUAGCCCUUGGGAAAAUGGAGUUGCCUGUGGCUCUGAUUCAUGGUUCCGAUACAUCCCCAGAGCUGGGCCUAUAUCCUGUAGUUAAAGCUUCAAAGGAAAACGCAAGUCUUCUAUCAGGGAGAACUGAUUGUGGAGCUCAAGCUCUUAUUUGGAGAAAAGUCUGUGCCUGUUCUGAUAUGGGUAGUCUGUCAGACUUCAUGGACUAGUAUCUGAGUCCCAGGGACAAGGGGCUGAAAGCAGAAAAGACCAAGGGUAGUGUGACCCCCAAGUCUCCAUGGGGUCCUGGGGGCAUUCGUGUGGGCCCAUCCCGACAAGUGUAGAGCUAGGUGUGUGAGCUGGGGUGGGACUCAGGGCAUCCAGGCAGGGGCACAGGGUGACUCCAAGGAAGUACCCAGGGAACCAAGCCCAUAGCAGCGUGACUAAGGAUGCCUCCCUCACCUUCUCAGGUGGGGAGGUCUGGGUCUUAGAUUCCCAUAGAGGUGGCCGGUAUAGGGACAAACCUAGGAAAUACUGUUCCCGCCACCAGGGCAGGUAAAGAAAACUCACAGGCAUGUGAGUCCAACUCUUCUUGAGAAGAACCACAACCGGGAAGGAGAGGUGGUGCUUGGUGCAGAGGCAGGAAAGACAUCUUUAUGCUUUGGCUACUGUUAGUGUUUGUGUGGGAUCCCAAAGUGUUGUCAGUAGGGGCAAAAAUAGCCAUGAGGUCCCAGAACCUCCUAUAAAAAAAGGUAGGGGAAAUAAAGGAGCGGGGGAAGACAGUAACGAGUUGAGCUAAGUGAGCAUCACCGUCAGUGAAAGUGAGGUUGAGCACUGUUAGCAGAAAUAAGUCAAAAUUGAGGACUACCUUCCCUGGCAUACAACCUCUAGCCUUCUCCUUUCUAGAAUGGUUUUUAAGCCAGAUACUAAAAAUUCUGUGUUCUGUUCUCAUGGCGUGUCUUCUCUCCCCCAGUGCCGGACCGCCUCCCACCUCCCCUGCCUUGGCCCAUGUCCGACACGGGGGAAGAUUCACACCGUCCUCUACCACAUUUUCUUUCAUGGCCCCUCUCAGACGUGAAACAAUCUGAUGGGCUGAUUCCCACAGCAAAUCUGUUACCUCAGACCCACCUGAUCGUUAACAAAAGACUCCUGAAAAGACACAACCUUCGUUCUCAGGGAUAAGUUUAAAUCCUGGCACUUCAGUCAUCAAUCAUAGCAGACUGGUGAAGACAGGGUUUCCCUCAAAAUUCAUCAUGAAUUACUUCAUUUGCAACCUAACUUUUGUCUCUUUAGGCCACUCCAAUUUGGGGCUUAAAAUAAAUCUGUGCAAACAGCAAUUAUGUGUAAACCCCUGACUCCUUUUCCCACCUACAAUUUCAGCACCUCCCACUGGAAAGCUCCACCUCCAGUUAUUUCUAGAAAGUUUUCUAUUGAGGAGGGAGGCUGGUUCUUACGUUAUCUGCUAUCACCCAGCACCUGCGAUUUUAUUGUCCUUCUACUCCUGUCCCUUUUUGUGAGGGUCACAGUCUGCUCCCUGCCAAGCUGUUUAAGGCCCAACCACUGCCAUGAACGGCGGAGUCACCUCGUGCCACUGAGAUUGCACCCUGUGCACAUUUCCAUUAGCUCUAACCCCCUAAAAAGGGGCAGCUGGUGGCUUCAUCGCUUAAGCCUCCGACUUCAGCUCACGUCCUGAUCUCCCAGUUCGUGGGUUUGAGCCCUGCAGGGGCUCUGUACUGACAGCUCAGAGCCUGGAGCCUGCUUCAGAUUCUGUGUCUCCCUCUCUCUCUGCCCCUCCCCUGCACGUGCUCUCUCUCUCUCUCUCUCUCUCUCUCUCUCAAAAAUAAAUAAACGUUAAAAAAAUUCUAAACUCCCCCUCCAAAAAAAAUGUAGUUCUGAGUUAUUUCUUUAUUUUUACCAAAUCUAGUCCUAAAGGAUUUAAAGUCCAAAAAUAUGUACAAUGAAAUAAGAUAAUGAGUAGAAACUGAAUUUGUAGAAAAAUAAUGGUAGAAAGAUAACAAUAAAGCUAUCAGUGAAAUUAGUGCAUAAAACACAUGCCCUAAAAUCAUGUGUGCUUGCUUGAGGUGGUCCAAAAAUUUGACUCUGAGCUUUUUAGCAGCCGCUACAAAGAGGGAACCAUAAGCAAAAUCUUUUUAAUUCUCGGUAUCCGAAAUCCGAGACAAAUGUCUCCUAUGGAUAGAUCUUUUAAAGAAGUUUCUCUUUCAUGUAAUAAUACCCUGUUACCUUCCUCAAUAUUCUUAUAGUAAACCCAAUAAUAUGCAUGAGAUCAGUUGUAGCAUUUCUUCAAGGUGUAACUAGGGCAUGUUACACAAACUGAGUUCAGAAAAGUAAUUUCAAUGUAGGAAAACAAAAACAAAAACAACGUGGUCUAGGUUUGGUGCAGAAAUAAAAGAGUAAUGAGAAAACAGGCCCCAGAGAGCCAACACAUUGACUUCUACAUUCAGCUGAAGGGAGGGUAAGGUUGACAGGUUUUUAUAAAAGCUGAGACCCCCAAAGAAGGUGUGUGUGGCGUAGAAGGUCUCCACCAGUGCACGAGGUAAGCAGAGAGUACAGGACGACACAGGCAAGACGUUCUCCAAUGUGCAGAGAAAUGAGCAGUCAAGUCUCAGAGCUAGAAUGUGAAAACAAUCAUUUUUGUAUGGAAAACCAUUUAUGAAAAUCUCAGCAAAAACAAACAAACAUAACCCUCAUUGGAGUAUCUAUUGAGCGUCCAACUUCAGGCAGGGUGACUGCCCAGUGAACCCUCCAAGACAAUUGACUGAAUUGACCCUAACAUAAUUGACGGGAUUUACCAGUUUUCUAGGGCUAGUAACCAUCAGCCAGUUGUAGGUUGAUAGAGUCUAGUAAAAAUGAAGAGAUUUUUGUUUCUGAAGUCCUUCUUUCUGGAGAUACUUGCGAAGGACAGCCAGUUGCCAAGUAAGGUCACUCUUUGUUCACUGAACUAAAACAUGGGAUCUGCUUAUAAUAAAAUGCUAAUAUUUAUUUCCAUAGCCUCAGGAUGGGAAUUUUAUUGAGUCCUUUUCAAUUUAGGUAUGUUCAACUGAAAAGUAAACAUUUCCUUCUGUCCAAACUUUGAAAAACAUGUAGGCCCCUUCCAAACCCAAUAAAAAAAAAAGUCUGUAUUUUUCUUAAAGGAGCACAUUAAUAGUUCAAGUGUAAAAUUUUUGCAUUAAAAAAAUAAUAACAAAUCUCAUUAGAAGGUGCUAGUCAGAUAUUGUGGUUUGACUCUGAGUUUAAGAAAACAAAAGAACAGACUGGUUCCAUGCACAAGGGUCUGUUUAUUUAUUUACAACAGCUUCAGCAGACAGGAAUGUUCCUUUUAUAGUGAAGAGCUCAGGGCCAUGACAGUCUACAAUUAAACACCCUUUCUCUCCUCAAUUUCAUCUAAUCAGUGGUCCAAAGUCAGAGAUGUGAUGAGGGCCUAUGUGGGGUUUAACGUUUCAUCUAUGAACUUGCUAAACUGUCUGGGGACAAAUUAUGUCGACUUUCCAUUAUUUGGCCCAUUUCACUGUCUGUUCACCUUUAUCAGUGCAGAGGAAGAGAAAUGCCUAUUUAUUUUAAAAGUCUUAAGUACAAUGCCCUGGGAGGAUGUAAUAUAGAAAAGACAGGAACUGACCAUGUAACUGUUUCAUAUCUGCAAACUCUUUCACUCUGGUAUCAAUUAUGAAGCCAGAUUUCUAUUCAUCCUAUGCAGCCCUACCGUUACCUCAUUAUUAUAUAUUAUAUGAUUAUGAAAGCCAGAUAUUUAAAAUUAUGAAUCUAUGUUUCCAUAAUAAGUGAUUUCAAAAUCAUUUAUGGCUUGUGGCUUAGAAGAAGAAAAAUCACAUAAUUUAGUUCCGCCCCUGAAUGUCCAAGCAUCGUAGAUAUCACCCUACUUUGCCAGUAGUGGCAUUAAGGGAAGAAAUUCAGGCCCUUUACCGGACCCCCAGAGAGGGAAAAUAUUUCCCAAAAGAUCAAGACCAAAGCCACCAAAAUAAUACAAAAAAUAUUGGAAACACAGUGACGAAAUAGAAAAUGGUUCCUUAGAAGGGGUGAGUCAUACAACUGUAGACAUCAAACUAAUAGUUUAAUGUUGCUAUAAAUGUGUGUUUUACAAGAUGAAGCGAUGAUCUGGGCAUGUAAUCAAUACCUGAGAUUCUGCAGUCAUUUUAGAUCAAGACCUUCAAGAAUUAUAACUUCCAUUCAUAUACUGUAGUUCAGAAUCCACGACUGAGGGAGAAACCAACAUCAGCUAUCACUGCCAGAGUUCAGACUGAUGUUUAAAACCCAAGACUCUAAUCCGUCCUUCUCUGAUACAUCCCAGGUUGAAGAAAUAAAUGUCGAGAAAGUAGAAGGCCUUUCAGCUAGAUAGAACAUUGUGCUAGAAUGAGAAUUAAGGGAAUUUGAUUCUGACAUGACCCCAUCAAACCCCAAACCUCAUUUUGCUGAUAGAUACCAGAAGGAAAAACAAAAAGGUUGAAUCUACGCUUGUGUGCCAGUAAAAACUCCACUACAAGUUUCACAGAGAGAACGACUGACAUAUGGGAAUGCAUAGGGAACGUGGUUAAAAUACCAAAUAGAAGUCGCAAGAUUAAAUUUCUACCUUCCAGCAGGUAUUCAAGCAACAACAAGGAAAAAAACAAAACAGUAAGGGCUCACUAUUAGGAAAUCUUUUUUGUUCCUGUCAGCAGCAUAUCUCAACCUGAGCUAUCGUUAUUUGUUGGUGGGAAUAUACAACAAAAAAUACCUAUAGCAAGCAAGGUCCUGACAGCCAAGUUCCAUUGUUUCCAUGAAGCUCCUCCUCUUGGUGAUUGUGCAAAAGACACUCUUCCAAAUGAGGUAACAGAAAGUAAGAAGGGAUCAUGAACUUUGUGAACCAUUUUGUAAACUAAACUAUAUUCCUGUUAAUGGGCUCUUGGGUCUGGCUUUUAAAACGUUUCAAGAAUGUUCUAAAAACUUUCCAUUUUGCUAUACUGGUAACUCAAGAGAAAUAGCACAUUCACUUUUAUACAGAUUGCUCUUGUGGUCCUAGUGAGUCCUGAAAUGCAUGUUAGAGUUGACUAAAUAAUUUUACAGGUGAAAUCUUUUGGGAUCUCUCGUAGUUAGCAUGAUUCCUAAGUCAUUAGCCAAAAGAAAUAAAUAGUUGGCCAAGGUUUGUUAUGGGAAAUAUACAUGUAACAUCUAGCAGACUUGACUGCACAGCUAUUAUGGGUUAGGCCCUGGAGGUCCAGCGAUGAGCCCCUGCCCUCAGAUGCCUUAGGAGCUAGUUUGGAGACAGACACUCAACAUAUUUAGUGGCAAUUAUAAGACAGUGUUGCAUGCUUCUUGUAAUCAACCCAAUCCUGUCUCUUGUGAACAACAGCUAGAGAACAAAUGAAGUUAAAUAGGGAUGUCCUAGAAAUGCUGCACGGAAAUAGACUUAACAUGGUUUCCGUAAAUAAAACUGAGGACACUGACAGCAAGAUGCUGAAUCCGGAGUUUCCUAGAAAAAGGGUGAAAAUUUGUCUUUUGCACAAAAGUCUUUCUGCACAACCCGGUUACCAACCAGUAUCACACCCAGAUCCAGAGAUUUAUGUUAAGGCUUGAAAUGUGGCUACUGAGCAAAUUAAGGUGUAAUUUUAAUGUAAAACAUAUAGCAAGUCUUAAAAAACAAUAUGAAAGAAAGAAUGUAGAUCAUCUCAUCAGCACCUGCUUUAUGUGGAUGACAUUUUGAAAUGACACUGUUUGGGAUAUAUUGGCUAAAUAAAAUAGAUCUGGCGGGGCACCUGGGUGGCUCAGUCAGUUAAGGGUCUGACUUCGGCUCAGGUGAUGAUCUUGUGCGUUCAAGCCCCACAUCGGGCUCAGUGCUGACAGCUUGGAGCCUGGAGCCUGCUUUGGAUUCUGUGUCUCCCUUUCUCUCUGCCCCUCCCCCUGCCCAUGCUCUGUCUCUCUCUCUCAAAAAUAAAUAAACAUUAAAAUUGAAAAAAAACUUAAAUAAAAUAUAUCAUUCAAAUUAAUUCCACUUAUUUCUUCUUGUUUUUUAAUAUGGCCACUAAAAACUUAUUAAUUUCGUGUGUGGUUCAUGUUAUGUUUUUAUUGGACAACACCGGCUUAGCCUCUUGAACCAGAGAAAACUGAGUUCAAAUGCACAUAUUAGCCAGGUGGCCUCGAGCUAGUUACUUCACUUCUGACCACUUGCCGUGUAGCAGGUUCUGUUUGAAUUAGUAGGGAUACCUGGAAGAAUUGUUUUUUAGGAUGAAGCUUACCAAGUGACUUGUUCAACGUAAGUCUCUAAUUACUUUUAGCAAAUAUUUUCAAAAUAUCUCAACUUUGCAGUGACCAUUUUCUUCACUUUACUGAUAGUCAUCGCCUAAAAGAAUCCCACAGUCUAGGGGCGCCUGGGUAGUUGAGUCGGUUAAGUGUCCAGCUCUGUGUUUUAUCUCAGGUAGUGAUCUCACCAUUCGUGAGUUUGAGCCUCGUGCUGGGCUCUGUGCUGACAGUGUGGAGCCCGCUGGGGAUUCUCUCUCUCUCUUUCUCUGCCCCGCCUCCACUCGUGCUCUCUCUGUGUCUCUCUCAAAAUAAAUAAACUUGAAAAAAAUCCCAUGAUCUAAAUUGACCCGGGAUCUUCACAAAGGAAGUGGCAUUUUCCACUGUCCUCUGGAUUCUUGUUUCCAGCCUUCACUAUUCGAUAAGACCUAGCUCGGAUACUUCUCCCGUAAAAACUUCCCUGACUUUCCUGUCCAAGUAAUGAUUCUCAAAUCUAUUCUUUAUUUAACAAUUUUUUACUGAGCACCUACUAUGUGCCCGCCCUGCUUUGGGGUCAAAAUAUAAAAAAGUGAGCAAAAUAAUGUUUUCGCCCCAGCGGUGCAUACCUUCCUAUGAAAAAGAUAGACAAUAAACAAAAACAUACAUAGCAUAAUGCCAGCUAAGGAGAAGGCUAGGGAAAAAUAAAGUCAGGAAGGGAACAGAAAAUGACAGAGUCAGGGAACACUGUUGUACAUAGCGUGGCCCAUGACAGCCCUUCUGGAGCAUUGACACUUGAGCGAAAGCAUAGGAUGCCCUACCUAACAUACUCAGUGUGUGGACAAAUACCAAGGAAGGAGUGAUUCUUGUGCCACGAUUCUCUCAUCUGGAAAGGUAUGCAUACAGCAGUGUCCUUGGACACUGACUGGAAAUGCCCCUGGAAAGCAACUGAGCAAUUGUCUAUAGUCUUCCUACUCUGCAAUCUCCUAGAAGAAAUAACAGAGAAGCCUGUGAAAACAUCAUGCCGUCAAAAAAACUGCCCCGUGGCUGGUCGUGAGGACAUUCUCCUGGCUUGUCAAAAGUAAGGGACUGACUAAAGCCUUUGGAGGCUCUUGUCUCGGCCACAUCCCGUUAAUGUUUUUCUUCGUGUUAGAAAUGAUAAAUGAUUUUUAUAACUUAACUAGUUACAUUCUUGCCUGAAAAAAAAAUGAAAGAAUUAGCAAACUUCCAUUUCAUCAGGCUAUGUUUAAUGUGGUCUACAGCAUUCUUUUUUUAACAGAAAUAUAUUUUUUUAUUUUUCUUAAGGUAACAAGCGUUUAAAUUUAAAUAAGAUAGGAACAUUUUUUUUUUAAUUUUUUUAACGUUUAUUUAUUUUUGAGACAGAGAGAGACAGAGCAUGAACGGGGGAGGGGCAGAGAGAGAGGGAGACACAGAACCGGAAGCAGGCUCCAGGCUCUGGGCCAUCAGCCCAGCUCGAACUCACAGACCGUGAGAUCGUGACCUGAGCUGAAGUCGGACACUUAACCGACUGAGCCACCCAGGCGCCCCAAGACAGGAACAUUUUUAACAAAAAGCACCAAUCUCUUUCCUAAGUCUUAAUGGUCUCAGUUCCAUUUACCAGUGUGCUAUAUUAACUCUGUCGACUUUUCUGUGUUUACUUUUUCUAGCUGUUGCAUGGUUCUCUAAAUAACAGGCACGCGCGUAGAUCACAAUUGUUUGAUCCAUCAAGUGUAGACAUCUGUGGACCUCCUACCAAGAUAGCUGCCUGAUCUCCUUCCCACCUUUCUUCUCCCAUCCUGUCAGGUAAAAUUAUGAUCGUAAGUCCUUCUGUUGGUUGUCUUUUUAACUUAAAUAUAUGAAUAUACAAGCAUUUCUUGAGUUCUCACUUGGUAAAAAUGGAUUCUUAAUGGCCCUGUUCUUUCUCCUUUUCUCCCCACCCUACCUUGCAACUUCAGCUGCUCAGGACCUUAACUUUUCCUUGUUGAUUUUGAUAGUGCUUACUUUUUAAAAAUAACGUAAUUAAGUCUUCCUCACAUAUUGGUUGAUUCUAAAAGCUGAAAAUCAGUAGACAGUAUGUGUGGUAUUAUGACUUUGUAGUGUCAUUGACUGUGCAGCCAAGUAGUAUAUUAUUAGUGCAUUUAAAUUUUCUGUUUUCCUUGAGUUUUUGGCUAUCUCCUCCUCCUCCUCCCCCUCCUCUCCUUCCUCCUCCUCCUCCUCCUGCUUCUCCGUGCUCUUCUGCUUCUGUUUCUUCUUUGCAUUACUCGCCUUUAUUAAAUCCUUACUUUUCCAAUAGCUCAAGGAUUUCGCAAAUUUUUGGAAGAAUUCCAUCGUUCCAGAUGGAACUUUUGCCCCUCGGUCUAAACUUAAUGCUCUCCAGAUCUGCUCCUCACUGUAACACCAGAACUUCACUUUGUUAUUCCUUCCUGUCCUUUUCUUCUUCCUGUUUUAUCCCAGCUUGGCUAGACCAUACCCUCUAAGCAACUGUUACAUACGUACAAAACUGUAUGUAACAGACAGACUUUCUAAGUCCUUAGAUGUAUGAAAAUGCAUUCUAUCCUCCGUCUUGAUUGAUAGCCUUGCUGAGUAUAAAACGUGAGAUUGAAAUAAUUUGCCUCAUAAUUUUGAAAGCAUAUACCAUUAUUUGCUGGCCAUCCUGAGCUGCUGAGGGGAGGGUCAAAUGGUCGCCUGAUUUCUGUUCUUCGGUAACUCCUCUGGUUUGUUUUUCUCUAUCCCUCUCUGUAAAUUUUUUGAUGUUUUCUUUUAUAGAUUUUCUGAAACUCUACAGGACUAAGUUGAGAUGAGUCUUUUUCCUAUUCAGUGUUCCGGGCAACUAGUGUUAUUCAGCUCUGAGAAUUCCUUUUUUAUUUCUUGAGUUAUUUCCUGUCUUCCAUUUUUUCUGUUCUCUCUUCUGAAAUUCUUAUUGGUCAAAAUCUCAGAUACUUUGGGUUGAUCUUCUAGGUCUCUCCUUUUCAUUCAUAUCUUUCAUCUCUUAGUCUUUAUGUUUUACUUCUUAAGAGAAAGGGGGAGUGGAUACAGAGCUGGCUUAGUGUAAAGGGCCUCCAGUGCCAGAACUGCUUUGGGGAAGAAAUGCUCAUUCUUGCUGCUGGCUCUGAAUUUGUUCAGUUUGUUUAUCGUAACAUGUUUAGGGUUGUUUGGAGGUAAAUUACUGACCAUCACAUGUUUUGAAUGCACGUUUGAGAGGAGAUGGAAUCUUUCUAGACAGAUUUUCAAGGAACCCUCUUGGUGUCAGCCCAGUGAAUCAUUCUUGCUGUCCGUCAGAAUUGCCAUAACUGAAUCCCAAACUCCCACAGAGUCCUACAUAUGCUAGAAUGCAGUUUACUCUUCCCUGCAAUCUUUCACCCACUUGCUGCCAUCCCAAAAUUUGCUAAAAUCUCUCCUUCCUUUGCUACCGAUCAACUCCUGCCCUUUUUGAUUUUGUGAUUGAUAUCUUUAAGACUUUUAUGAUCAUUUUAAUAGGGUUUUUAAAAGGAGAAAACAUAAAUCUGGUCAGCCACCCAUGUUGAGCCAGAAUUCUAUGGCUCAUUUUAGAACAAGACACAUCUUGUUUGUCUUGUACACCGUACAAUAGAUUUCUCUUUUAUUUACUGCAUCUCAAAAAGUAUCAUUUUGGAGCAUGCUACAUCUCUUUGAAAAAAAUGAAAAGUAAUGAUGAGAAUCUUCCUGAAUGAAUUUUUAGAAGAGUAAAGAUCAGCAGAGACUGAUGGGUGACCAAUAGCACCAGGAAGGCCAGAAGAUUGAGAGUAGAGAAAUCCUGCUUCAAAGUCUGAUUUUUAUCUCCAUUUGAAUUAAUUUUUUGGUCCAGUGAAUAAACAUUUGUUGAUUACUCAGUGUUCUUUAGGCAUUGCUAUAAAUCAAUACACACACACACACCCUUCACGAGAUCAGAGUCAAGUAGAAGAGUAUAAUACCCAUCCUUGCACCACAUGACAACUUACAGCUAUAGAAAGGUUAGAGAAUGGCCCCUGCUUGCACAAGAAAACCCUAAAUAAUUUAUUAACUAUCAAGUGGCUGUUUUAUUUACCCACAGCUGUGUGACAAAUUAGCCAUGGUUUCCACCAGAAGGAUUUACUACCCAGCAGUGAAAGAGAUUCACGCAUUCAGAGCAUUGGCUUUGGAAUCACACGGACCUGAAUUUUCAUCCGAAAUUCUCCACCACUCACUAACUUGUAAACUUACAAAAGUUGCUUUGCCUCUCUGAGACCCCAUUUUCUCUUUUAUAACAUGGGUAGUAAUACUACACUGAAGCUCCCUUAGCCAGCCUCCAUUUAACCAACUCUCCAGAUUCAUGAAGACUCUUCUUUCUCCGUAAAACUUGCUGACUGCUGCUCAAUCAUGCUGAAAGCACACACUUUACAGGCCACACAAGAUGAUGCCCCUCCAACCAAGUCACGCCUACUAGAUACACCUGUGUUUGCUUCUAAAUAUAUUCAUGCUGGGGGCGCCUGGGUGGCGCAGUCGGUUAAGCGUCCGACUUCAGCCAGGUCACGAUCUCGCGGUCCGGGAGUUCGAGCCCCGCGUCGGGCUCUGGGCUGAUGGCUCAGAGCCUGGAGCCUGUUUCCGAUUCUGUGUCUCCCUCUCUCUCUGCCCCUCCCCCGUUCAUGCUCUGUCUCUCUCUGUCCCAAAAAUAAAUAAACGUUGAAAAAAAAAAAUUAAAAAAAAAAAAAAAUUAGGUCACAAAAAAAAAUAAAAAAUAAAAAAAUAAAUAAAUAUAUUCAUGCUGAUUUUAGUUAGUUGCAAGACAAUUAAAAUCUUAAUUACAAGACAAUUAAAAUUUUUAUCACAAGACAAUUAAAAUAUGAAGGCAAAAAGUAAAAGGUAACUUUUUAAAAUACUGUCAAAUUAGUUGGUAAAAAGAUACAUAGAUAGAUAUUUAGAUAUUGGUGAUAUAAUUGGAAAAAAUGGUGUGGCGAAUUUGUAAAAAUCUACAAGUGUUCUGUACUCAAUAUGUUUUGCAGGUGUAGUUACAUCCUGAACAUUUCAGACGUCAUAAAUAAAGCAAUAGGUAUGGUUUAUGCAAAAAGACUAAGGGAGAUUUAAUCAAUAGACUCAUAAUAAAAGAAAAACCCUUGGCCUUAUGAAUAACAUGUGAAUAAAGUAUUGUGUGCUUAGGAUUAAAAUAAAAUUUUGUGGAGUGAUUGGUUGAGUUAAUUAAAAUAGGUACAGCCUUUAUUAACAGUGCCAGGCACACAGACUUUCCAUAAGUGGUAGGCAUUGUUGUUAGGGACAUGUAUGAUUUCAUUUGACAAAAUAUUUAUUGUGGGUCUGCUCUGGGGGCGGCUGAGUGGCUCAGUUGGUUGAGCCUCAAACUCUUGAUUUUGGCACAGGUUAGUCAUGAUGUCACAGCCGUGGGAUUGAGCCCCAGCAGGCUCCCCACUGGGUGUGGACCCUGCUUGGGAUUCUCUCUCUUCCUCUCCCUCUGCCCCUCCCCGGCUCACUCGAGUGCUCUCUCUCUCUCUAUCUCUCUCUCUCUCAAAAAAAAAAAAAAAAAAAAAACUUAAAAAAAUUUUUAAAAGGAGUCCACUCUAUGCCAAGCCGAGCAUACAACGGUGAGCAAAGCAAGUCUGGACACUGCCUUUAUGAGUCUUGCAAUGUAGAGGGAGGGCAUAUAUUUGACCAAAUCAUUACACAAAGCCAGAAUCGCAAUGUAUGAUGAGGGCUAUGAAGGAAAAAUACAGUAGGCAAUAACAACAUACGUCAGGGGACCUGAACUUUGAGGGUCGCCAGGAAGUAGCCUCUGAACUGAGUUCUGCAGCAUGAAUCAGAACUAGCCAGACAAGGAAAACAGAAUUGCAGGCAGAGAAAACAUCAUGUUCAGAUAUCCUGAAGCAGGAGAGAGCUUCCCAUAGCGAAGAAGCUGAAGAAGGGCCGAUGUGGCUGCUAUUCAGAAAAGCGAGCGUGGCAUCUAAAUAUGCCGAAUAGAUUGGCAAGGCCAAAUCUAGCAGAGCUUUGCAGGCCGGGCUAAGAAUUCAAGGCAUUAACAUCCUGCGGUGCAAAUUCAGAGGUCACAAUCUACUCGAAGAUCAAAUUGCAAAAGCAUCUUCAUUCCCUUUGAAAGCCUGUAUUAGCUGCCGUAAUAAAUAGACACCAAAACUUCAGCGUUCUGACCCAGGCUGAAACUGAUUUCUUGCUCAGUAAUAGUCUUCGACGGAUACUCCUAGCUGGUGGGAAGCUUUCCUCCACACAGCGAUUCAGGGACUCAAGCUACUCCCAUCUUAGGACGCUGCUAUCCUCCAGACUUCAUCAACCCCCACACCUCUAGCCGACAUAAGGGAGAGAAGAGCAAGAAGUAGACACGCCCACACGCCCAGAGUGACUUACAUCACUUCCGCUGCCAUUCCGUGGAUGAGAGCUCGGCAAUGAACACACCAGGUAAACAGAGGAAAGUAGAUCAGCUGCUCCCAGGGACAGCUGCUGUCCAUGAGUAGGGGAGGGUGAUCUGGAGUGCCCAGCUCUGCCACAAGCCACUUAACGUAAAUUAACAUUCGUGCCAAGUCAGUUUUUCCUCUUAUCUUCAGAAAUCUCCCUUACUUCAAUCUAAGUGCAUUCUCAAUAUGAGUUCAUAGUCAGUAAUCCAUGUGGCUAUUUUAAAAGGCAUAGCAAAUAUUAGAUCUUUCUUAUAAAUGCAAUGUACCAUAAUAAACAUUAAUGUAUUUGGAGGUCCUACUAGUCUGGACACGUAGUAGCUACCAGUAUUUGGAUGGUCUGAAUUCUUCUAAUGUUUUCGUGUUCUACCAUUAACGGAAGUGUUUACAGUGUCCAACUAACGUCACUCCUGGAUAUUCCCAAAUGAAGUAUGGUGUCCCGAGUACUUCUUCCAUCAGCUGUCCCAAGCCUACUUUGAAAAGUUCCACCAGGGGCGCCUGGGUGGCUCAGUCCAUUCAGCGUCCAACUCUUGAUCUCGGCUCAGGUCAGGAGAUUGAGCCCAAGUCAGGCUCUGUGCUGACGGUGUGGAGCCUGCUUGGGAUUCUCUUUCUGCCCCUCCCCCAACCCCUGCUCACUCUCCCUCUCGCUCUCUCUCGCUCUCUCUCUCAAAAUAAAUAGAUGAACUAAAAACAAAACAGUUCCACCAAUACUCAGCACCCCCCACACGUGUACACAACUAAAAUCUCCACUAAAAAAAAUAAAUGUUAAGCCUGUUGUCAUGUAUCUUUUCCUCGACACAUGUGUCACCUGAUUUUGAAUAAAGAAGAAAAACAAAAAGCUCUCUGUAAAAUCUUCUUUAGACCCUCUAACCUCAAGCCUUCACAUGAAGAGGUUCAGAUCUACAGCUACUCUCCCAGGUCCAGUUUUUCCUUCAAAUAGGUUUUGCUGGGUUUGUCUCCUCUAUUGCCCAUGUUCACGAACAUGAUAAAGUCUAGCACAUGCCCUGUUUUCCUUCUGUAGAAUAAGCUAUACCAGGGAUGUGACAUCAAAAGUACAGGCAAUAAAAGAAAACCCAGGUAAGUAGGACUCAGUCAAAUUUAGAACGUUUAUGCCUCAAAAACACUCCCCACAGAGUGAAAAGUUAGCAGGCAAUGGGAGAAAAUACACAAUGGCUACUAAACUCAUGAAAAGAUGUUCAACAUCACCAAUCGUUAGGGAAAUGCAAAUCACAACCAUAAGAUACCAUUUCACAGCCAUUACGAUGGCUGUCAUCAAAAAACAAAACAAAACAGAAAAUGACAAGUGUUGGUAAGAUGGAGAAAUUGGAACCCUUGUGCACUGCUGGUACAUUUUACAUUUGUAAAAUGGUGCCACAGGAGGGAAAAUGGGAUGUGGUUCUUCAAAAAAGUACAAAUAGGGGCACCUGGGUGGCACAGUCACUCAAGCGUCUGACUCUUGGUUUCGGCUCAGGUCAUGGCCUCAUGGUUCAUGAGUUUGAGCCCCGCAUUGGGCUCUGUGCUGACAGUGUGGAUUCUCUCUCUCCCUGCUCUCUCUCUCUCGCUCUCUCUCUCUCUCUCAAAAUAAAUCCAUAAAAUUAAAAAAAAAAAACUUUGUAAGUACAAACAGAUUGUCAUAUGAUCUAGCAACUCUCCUUCUGACUAUAAACACAAGAAUUGAAAGCAGGGGACUCAAACAGGUAUUUGUACACGCAUGCUCAUACAGCAUUCGUCACAAAAGCUAAAAGAUGGAAGCCAUCCAACUGUCUACCAGCAGAUGAAUAGGUAAACAAACUGUGGUAUAUACAUACGAUGGAGUAUCUCAUCGGUCUUUAAAAGGGAUGAAAUACUGAUACAGUACGGAAGUGCUGAUACUACAACAACAUGAAUGAAUCUUGGAGACAUUACGCUGUGAAAUCACCCAGUCACAGAAGGACAAAUACCAUAGAGUUCCACCCAUAACGAGGUACCUUGAGUGGUCAAAUUGGUAAAUGCAGAGAGUAGAGUGGGGGCUGAGGGGAGGGGGAAAUGAAGGUACUAUAUGAGUACAGAAUUUCAGUUUGGGAAAAUGAAAAAGUUCGGGAGACCGAUGGUGGUUGUACAGAAAAGUGAAUAUAGUUAUUGCGUGGAUCUUUUACUUAAAAGUGGUUAAAACAGGAAGGAAGGAAGGAAGGAAGGAAGGAAGGAAGGAAGGAAGGAAGGAAAGAAGAAAGGAAGGAAGGAAGGAACAGAUGGAGGGAGGAAGGGGGAAGGGAGUGAAAGGAAGGAUCUGGUACUUGAGACAAAGCCUGGUGGAAGCCAUGGCCCCAAACAGAACCUGACAUCCUAAGACAAUGAUGUCUCCUUUGCUACAAAGGACCAGAGCUUUCAGUGGGAGGCCCUUGGAUCCCUUUAUUAACUGGCAAGCAACAUGGACUUGUUUUGUUGUUUAAGCUUUAGAGCUGAGGACAGAGUGUCUGGAACGCCCCAUAAUCACCAACCCGCAUACUGAAGAUUGGGUCAGUUUGUAAAAACGGUUGAUUCAGUAGGGUUCAUGCCAGUGUCCUUUAUACAUUUUUUAUCUUUCUGACCAAAAAAGAUAAAGAGUAUAUAGCAUUUAAUUUAAUAUUUAAGCUAAACUAAAUAUAUAUAUGUAUAUAUGUGUAUAUAUGUAUAUAUAUGUAUAUACAUGUGUAUAUACAUAUACAUAUAUAUAUACACAUUUAGUAUGUAUAAAAUGUACAUGAAGGUAAAGAGUAUAUAUUACUUCAUUUAACUUAAUUUUCAAGUCUGGUCUAUAUUCUUAUUCCCAGCAUAACUAUUAAAUCCAAGAAGGCAGAGGAGGAGAAGAAGAAAAGACAAAACCAUGGAUAUCUCAGAUGUUAAAAGGUGAGUCACAGUUCGCUUCAUCCUAGGUAGAAAGAAGUCUGUAGUGUUAACUCUGGUUGGGUGGUUUACAGACCUAAGAAGUUUCCAUUCUUACCCAUUUCUUACUGUAUGUAAGUCCAGCCUGGUUUGUACUCCUCCACGGCGGAAUAAUACUUACACCCUCCAUCUAUGUCCUUCCUUCUAGUUGUAGCUGUCUUUCUACUGUGAGUUUAUUUGCGUAAUUAACACACUGAUUUAUUUUGUCCUGACAGCCUCGGGCAGUGGUACUGGGGGUACAAAAGUUUAAGUCAAACAAAUACUUUUGAAAACGAAUCACCCAGGAUUCCUUUCUUUUCAGAUUCUCUUGAAGUCAGAUAAUAGGAAUUCUAGGGACUAUCCACUCGAGACAAAAAAAUAAAAAGGAAAAGAAAAGAAAAGGUUUUAUAGCCAACGAUGAUCUACAUAAACUUUAAUGCCCUUUAAGAUCAUGUGCCUUGCGGUCAGCUAAUUUUUCUCGGAAGGUCUCUGAGAUGAAUGAGCGUAUUCUCAUAUGUCAGCCAGUAAUAAAGGCUAACAAGGGGUGACCCUGAAAAAUAUGUUGACCAGGGUUCUCUACUAUCAGAUUACGAGUGGAGGGUGUUGGAUUGUUCAUAAAAUGCUUUUGAUCUUUGCUGAGACUAAGUUGCUAAGCCAGCCAGACUUUGGGAUUCAGAAAAUCUACUCUGUGAAGCCAAACUUAAACUCACAAUGGUCCUAAUUAAGGACCAGUGAGUUAAAUUGGGUAUGUAGAGGCCAAUUUUUUUUUUUUAAAUAAAGAACAUUUGUUCAGAGUAAAGCUGCCAUCAGGCUUUUACUCCUUGUACAGGUUUCCCUUUUACAACUCUGCCCAAGUAAACCAGCCAAAUUCCAGAAUCUCACCAGGAACACCAGCAUGAAUUAAUACUAAGUCUGAAUUACACGAUAAUUUGGAAAUAGCACUUCCUUAAUGACCAUCAAGAAUUUGCAAACAAAACAAAGCACUAAUGGCUAGCCAGGUAUGGCCUAGAAAAACACUGAUCACUUGACAUGCAAAAGGUGACACCCAGCAUAUUCAAAGGAACACUAUUCAGGAGGGAGGGGGCCUGAGUCCUCUGUUUUUUCUGUGUGGGCUUGUACAAGUCAGUUAAGCUUUCUAGUCCUCUCUUUUCUCUUUUUGUAAAAUGAGGGCCAUAUGCUAAUAAUCUCUAUCUCCUUUCUGGCUCCCAAAUUCUAAUUUACAUCUCUAAAUCACUUAAAGCACAGUGUCUCUACGAAAACUAAUCUUGCUAAACUGAUUCCGACAUAACUUUAGUUGACUUAUUUAAGUAGGUUAAGCAUCCCCACAUUAGGAGCUCUGGAUCAUGUUCUCCCUAUUAAUUUUCUCAUAAAUAGCACAGAAGUAAGUUGCAACCCAGUUUUGCCUGCAGUGUCAUAAAAUCUGAAUUAGUUGAAUUUAAACUGGUGAAGUGUGCAUAUGUGUUAGGUUAAAAGCCAGUAUCAACUCAUCGUGCAUGCUCUUUCCCGGGUCAUUGCCUCUUUCUCUGAACCAUCUGCCCAGGAAAUUGUAAAUUGCCCACCACUUCCACCAACACGCCCGACUCCUGAAAGUCUGACUCCAGACGGUGUCUCUCCUGAACUCCAAACUGAUGUUUAAUAACAAUGUCCACCACUCCCUGAAUGCCUCUUCCAAGUCUGGUGCUAAGCUGUCAUUUUAACAACGUGGUGUCGACGUCGACCGCAGCUCUGCAGGGUGGCCUUGCUAUCUCUACUCUCGAUGAGGAAACUGAGACUCAGAGAGGCCAUGUAACGGAUCAGAGUCACGCAGAUGGCCGUUGUCAAAGCCAUGAUUCUAAUCCAGGUCUUGCUGCUGCAGGAAUCCAUGUUCUUUUGACUAUCUCACUAGCGUGAACACUAUAGACUCAAAAAUCGCGAUCACUGUUCUGGAUCAAAGUCUUCUUCUUCAGAUAGACAGGGGCAGGUUGGCAAGAAAGGCACUCGUGCAGGAAGGACAGCUCUGGUCAAGAGCAGAGGAGGGGGAUGCUGUAAAGGCAUGUCUGGGCCAGCCUGGAAAUAGCUUCGCGGGCCUGGACAAGGCAAGUCAGCAUGGGGCAUCAAAGGAUUUCCAGAGCGAGCAGGGAAUGAUGUCUGUCAUCAGUUUUACAUUUUAGCAGAAACAUUCUGGAAAUGACUUUAAGACUAGUUUAGAAAGAAAGAAAGAGAGGGGCGCCUGAGCAGGGUAGUCAGUUGAGCGUCCGACUUCAGCUCAGGUCGUGAUCUUGUGGUCUGUGGGUUUGAGCCCCGCAUCAGGCUGUGUGCUGACAGCGCGGAGCCUGGAGCCUGCUUCUGUUUCUGUGUGUGUGCCUCUCUCUGCCCUUCCCCCGCUCACACCUUCUCUCUCUCUCUCUCUCUCUCUCUCUCUCUCUCUCUCUCUCUCCCUCUCUCCCUCUCUCCCUCUCUCCCUCUCAAAAAUAAACAUUUAAAACAAAAGAAAAAAGAAAAGAGAAAAAAAAGAAAAGAAAAAACAUAAGCAGUACGAAGAUCAUUGAGGAAGCUAUUCUACAAGCACAAAGAGAGGAGAUUCAGCCUGAACUAGGACAGUGACAGAAGGAAGGGAUAAAAAAAGGAUGCAGAACUUGGCACACAAUUAAAUUGGGUAAAUGGAUAAGGAUGAGGUUAUAUCGACCCCAAAGCAACUGUGAUUUGUCUUUAUCUUGCUAGCCCGCAGAGUAUGCCUCUAGGGUACAUGUCUUGCAAAGCCCACCUCCUCAUAGGAGAAAGUCACUCACUGCUCUGGAUUGUACCAGACCCAAAACAUGCAAAGCUAGAAUGUCUGGAUCCUACUGAAUUAUUUCUGUGUCUUCUCUACUUUUUUUUUUUUUUAAUUUUUUUUUCAACGUUUAUUUAUUUUUGGGACAGAGAGAGACAGAGCAUGAACGGGGGAGGGGCAGAGAGAGAGGGAGACACAGAAUCGGAAACAGGCUCCAGGCUCUGAGCCAUCAGCCCGGAGCCCGGCGCGGGGCUCGAACUCACGCACCGCGAGAUCGCGACCUGGCUGAAGUCAGACGCUCAACCGACUGCGCCACCCAGGCGCCCCGUCUUCUCUACUUUUAAGAAGAGAGGGUCCAUAGUACAGGAUUUCCUGUCCUUGAAUGUCUGUGUCUUCGAAGAGACUCCAGGUAGGAAAGAAAAGGAGCUAAGCCGCUGCGGGGUAUAGAAAACCGGAAGACACGCUUGGAGUGUCCAAAUGCGUAUCUCAGCCCACAACCUGGGGAAGUAAUGACAUGGUCUAGGUUAGUGGGAGCUCAGAUCUCUGUCCUCAGCUUCUGGCUCCACAUCCAUGAGCCAAAUGUAGCCCAAAUUCAGUAUUUCCGAAUUUCUCAGCACCCAGGUCCGAGCAACCUCCGUCUGUCACCUGAAUUCUUACGGUCACCUCCUAAUUGGUCUUCCCACAUCCACCAUGGCUCCCACGCCCCGACCAGUCUCAACACCAAACGCCCAAACCUCUUAAAACCUAUCAGACCGUCUCACCCUUCUGCCCCAAACUACCCAAUGGCUCCAUGGCCAAAGUCCCUCCAAUGGCCGUAAGGCCCCGCAUGUCCCGGCAGCUCGCAGUCACUGACCUCAUCUCCUCUGGUUCCUUCAUCCCCCUUGGGUCCAGCCUCAUUGGCUUCCUCGCUCCACAGAUCAUGCCUAACACAUGCCUUCGCACUGUUUUCUUUCUCUGCCUAGCACGCUCUUCCCCCAGAUACCCGUGAGCCCCACUUCCCUCAUUUCCCUGAGUUUUGUCCGAACGUAGCCUCUUGGGGCGCCUGGGUGGCUAAGUCGGUUGAGCAUCCAGCUCUUGAUUUGGGCUCAGGUCAUGAUCUCACGGUUCGUGGGUUUGAGCCCCAAGUCGGGCUCUGUGCUGACAUAACAAAGCCUGCUUGGGAUUCUCUCUCUCCCUGUCCCUCUCCCGCUAGCACUCUCUCUCUCUCGAAAUAAAUAAAUAGAACCUAAAAUGUGUGUGUGUGUGUGUGUGUGUGUGAAAUGUAGCCUCUGCAGUGAGUCAUAACCGGGGCCACCUUACAGAAAAUUGCAAACCUCCCCGCUACACUGCCUCGAGCACAGAUGCUUUCCCCAACACAGUUACACUGCUUUAUGUUGCUCCAAGUUAUUAUUACAAGUUAACAUACUGUUAUGGGUUGAAUUAUGCGCCCCCCCCCAAAGAUGCUGAAGUCCUAAUCCCCAGUAUAUGGGAUUGUGGAUGUAACUUUUUGGGGAAAAGGGUCUUCCCAGAUGAUUGAGUUAAGUUGGGGUCUUCAAAGUGGGCCCUACGCCAAUGGGGCCGGUGUCCUUAUUCAAAGGGGAAAUUAGGACACAGAGACACAGGCGUUCCCUGUGAGGAUGGAGGCAGAGGUUGGGAUGAUACUGCUACAAGCCAACCGAGCACCAGAAGCUAGGGAAGAGCCUAGAACAGAUUCUUCCUCACGGCCCUGAGCAGGAGCCAGCCCAACUAACACCUUGAUCUUGAACUUCUAGCCUCCAGAACUGGGAGACAAAAGAUUUCUGUUGUCUCCGUCACCCAGUUUGUGGUAUUUUGUUAGGGCAGACCUAACAAGCUGCCUAUCCUUUGUGUUUAUGAUUUGGUCUUCACCCCCAAAGGUAAGCUUCCCAGGGGCAGGGAUUUGUUGAUUUAUCUUUGCUAUCCCGUCUCCAGCAGUACACGAAUCAAUAACCCUGCCCCAGACCACACUUCUAGCCUUUUCUCCCACCUCUCUCUGAGACAAAAUCCUUUCGACCUUUGCCCCAAAUACCAGGGACUUUGAUACCUUCUUAACUCUGCUUAUGCGGUUUCCUCUACCCGGGAUGCCCAUCCACCCCUUCUCUGCCCCUUAACAUCACCUUAUCAGUUAAGACUCAUCCGUGUCAUUCCUUCAGUGACGAGUUUCCUCUGCUCCCCUCUUCUGCUUUAUUAUUCAUGUGGCUGUGCCUCUCUGCCUGUAAACCGUGACCCCUUUGAGUUCUGGAAUCCUAUCCUAUUAAUCUUCCUAUCCCCGGAACCUGGCCCAGUGACUGGCACACCAGAGGUGCUUAGUAAACGUUUGCUGGAUUGAAUUAAAUCUGUAUCCCGCAGCUUUUGCCCUUGCUGCCUUUCCCUCGACUGCUAGCCACAGCAGGGUACAAGAGGAUUAGACAGGACUUUGCAGAGCAGAACUCAGAUUAGAGCGUCGGAGCGCUACGGGGCUGCGCCUCUCGGCAGACCCUUUGUCUCGGUGCAAUCUCGUGAGAGCUUCUUAAAUUGGAACAGUCGGCGACGUUGUACCCAAACCACUCAGCUAAGCCCUAGGAGACGUUGGCCAGAAUUCACAGCAACACAAACAGCUCAAUCAAAGGAGAAGGUGUGCAAAUCCUCUUACUUUUUAUAAACUAGAGCAAGUAUCCUGUUGGGGGAAAAAGACAGUUCUUUGAGACGGCACUUCCCAGGAUGCUGGGCGAGAAGGUACUGGCUUUGAUUCCAGGUAAUGGUCUCAUGUCUGUUUUCCCUUCUGCCCAUAGAUCUUUCCAGUGGGCUGGUGUUGUAAAGGCCACAUGCGUCCACUCAUCUUUGCAGAGAGGAUGAAUUGGAACCAGCUCCAGAGGUGACGGGUAUGUUUGGUGUGGCCAGUGCUCAUUUAACCUAUUUGAAUACUCAAGGGAAUGUAAUCAGAAAAGGCGGGAAUAGACUCCAUCCCCCCAGAAACUCGAGCUGAAAGGAGCUAAAAUAUCAAACAUGCAUUCUAAGGAAUCACUAUUGCUUCUCAGAAGGUUCUCUGCCCCUCUGUUUUUUCUAAAAGGCAUCCCAGUCUUGCAGUCAUUACCACAACAGCGGAGUGAGCCCAGGGAACAGUAGGAAACUUCAGAUAGCAUUAUUUAAAUCCUCACUCCUUGUAGGUACCAUCUUGGUGAGGUUAGCUUCAAAUUCAUAAGAAUAAGUGCUUUUGCCCAUCCUAAUUCUGUGCAUUUGACAUUUUCUUUUUUUUUUUUUUUUAUGUUUUCAUUUAUUUUUGAGAGAGAGAGAGACAGAGCGCGAGCAAGGGAGGGGCAGAGAGAAAGGGAGACACAGAAUCCAAAGCAGACUCCGGGCUCUGAGUGGUCAGCACAGAGCCUGAUGCGGGGCUCGAACUCACAAACCGUGAGCUCAUGACCUGAGCUGACGUGGGACGCUUCACCGACUGAGCCACCCAGGCGCCCUGACAGUAACACAUUUUCAAAUGUCCAGUUAAUUGUGUUCACGUGGGUCAUUCAGUCGUGGGCCCAAACUAAACACUUACACAGUACCAAGCACUGUGCUGGUCUCCAGUGCGUCAAAACGGGGGGCUUCUGUUUUUCAUGUUACACAUAAAGCUGAUGCAACAAUAACUUACUAGGCACCUACAUUGUUCCCAGCAAAAUGUAAUCAACUUUGUGAUUUUGACUAAAGAGUUGCACUCACAUUGUUAGUAAUUCAACUCAGCCCUGUCCUUGGUCCCCUCAAAGUCAUGGGAAGUAAUGUUUUGAUCGUUGUUUGUACCUUGAUCCUAUGAUACUUUGAGUUGUUAUUAUUAUUGUUGUUGUUGCUGGCAGUGGAAGGCCCUCAUCCAGUGAGACUAGUAGUUUUUAACAUUUUGGUGGUUACAUUCUCCUUUCAGAGCAGAGAAGGCCAGGUGCCCUCUCUCCAGAAAAAAUCCACAUGUUUCACACACUCAUAAUUUUAGAUGCAAAAAGUUAACAGACCCUCUAGAGCAGAGUCAGUAGACUUUUUCCGUAAAGGCCAGAUAGUAAAUAUUUUAGACUUUAUGGACCGAGAGGCAAAGAAUGGAUAUUAUGCAGUGGAGACAUUUGUCCCUCCCCCCAAACCCAUGGGACAUACGUUCCAAGACCCCCAGUGGGUGCCUGAAACCACAGAUAGUACUGAACGUUAUUAUACUGUUUUUUCCUAUACUUACAUACCUAUGAUGGAGUUUAAUUUAUAAAUGAAGCACAGGUUCUAGAACAAUCGUAACAAUAUACUGUAAUUAAAGUUAGGUGAAUGUGGUCUCUCCCGCGCGCUCUUAAAAUAUCUUACUGUGCUGUACUCACCCUUUUUGUGAUGUCACAAAAUGAGAAAAUGCCUACGCGAUGAGAGGAAGUGAGGUGGGCGACGUAAGCAUCGUGACGCAGCGUUAGGCUGCUCUUGACCUCCUGACCUUCUGACUGUAUCUCAGAAGGAGCGUCAUCUGCUUCCUGACCACCGUUGACUGCAGGCAACCGAAGCUGUGGGAAAGCAAAACCGCAGCAAUUUUUAAUUGAUAAAAUCCAAACUAUAGCAAUUGAGUAUAGGUUUUCGUAAUGAAAAUAUAUCACUUAAUCACGGCUCCAAGUUAGUAUCCCUUAUCAUCAAAUCAGUUGACAAUGUUCAUCUGUAAAAGCCAUCCUUAGCUUGAGGAUGGUAAAACCCAGGCAGUGGCCUGGAUUUGGCCGGUGGGCCUUAGUUUGCUAAUCGCUGCUAUGAGUUCCACCCAGAGGAAAAGACCCAGGUCCAGACUGUUUUCAGGAAGCCCUGCUGAGAGUAGUUACAGGCACGGCCAGGAUCAGCAAUGCUGUUCGUGGCCCUCCAUCUUGGUGGCAGGGGACAAGCUCACACAGUGGCCUUCCCUGGAGCCGGCAAGGAUUCCUGGCACAGCACUCCCGCGCACGGAAGGGCUGGCUGGCAGCUGAAUUAGGGUCCCAUUUCUACUGCACGGAGUUGCAACCAAGAACGCAUGGUGUAGUAAAUUCUAUUAACCUACAUUCUGUGACCUCAAUAAAACUUUCUCAAUAAUCAGCAAGAAUAACAAUGCACAUGAAAAGAAAUUCCUUUGCCCAGUGUUUGCAAGUUGAAAUGUAAAAAGCACAUCAGUGGAUAAGGCUUUUUAACGAAUAAAAUCAUUUCCUUAAUCGGCAGUUAACUUUCAAUCAAUACUCACUCCCAGAAACCCCAAAAAACACCACCUCGCCAAUUUAAAAGAGCUUAGAAUAAACCAUAAUAAACUAAUCAAGAGGCAGGGUUCAACAAAAAAUGAUUAUGCAGAAAUUUUAGCCUUGAACUCACAUAGUUCAUCUGUGUCUCCUAAAAACAUGCCAUGGUAGCAGUCAAUCACAAGAGAAAUGUAAUUCUAUGUAAUGUUUUCGGGCCUAUAAUGUCUGGAAAGCUUAGGCCACUAGGAAGAGGCACAGACGCUUUUCAUUGUUGGUUAGAACCCAUUGCUUCGUUUCAAUAAUGGUUAAAUAAAUAAAUAAGUAGAUAAAUGCAGCUCCCUUGACUGGCUGGCCGAGCGGCACAAUCUGAGCGUCAAACUUGACACAAGUUCUCCACCUAGUGGAUGUUUCAAAAGAUGUGCAAUAAAAUAAAAACUGCGCGGGCUUGUGGAGGUUCCUCACAAAAUUCAAAAUAGAUCUACCCUAUGACCCAGCAAUAGCACUGCUAGGAAUUUACCCAAGGGAUACAGGAGUGCUGAUGCAUAGGGGCACUUGUAUCCCAAUGUUUAUAGCAGCACUUUCAACAAUAGCCAAAUUAUGGAAAAAGCCUAAAUGUCCAUCAGUUGACAAAUGGAUAAAGAAGAUGUGGUUUAUAUAUACAAUGGAAUACUACUUGGCAAUGAGAAAGAAUGAAAUAUGGAGUUUUGUAGAAACAUGGAUGGAACUGGAGGGUAUUGUGCUGAGUGAAAUCAGUCAGGAAGAGAAGGACAGAUAUCAUGUUUUCAUUCAUAUGUGGAUCUUGAGAAACUUAGAAGACCUUGGGGGAGGGGAAGGGGAAAAAACAGUUACAAACAGAAAGGCAGGGAGGCAAGCCAUAAGAGACUCUUAAAUACUGAGAACAAACCGAGGGUGGAAGGGGGGGGGGGGUGGGGGAGAGGGGAAAGUGGGUGAUGGGCAUUGAGGAGGGCACCUGUUGGGAUGAGCACUGGGUGUUGUACGUAAGCGACGAACCUCGGGAAUCUACCCCGAAAACAAAGAGCACGCUUUACACACUGUAUGUUAGCCAAUUUGACAAUAAAUUGGAAUACAGACAAAAAAAAGAAUAGACACAGAGACAGAGAUGCACACAGGGAAGUGGAAAGCAUUCUGCGUGGCCAUCGGUGACGACAUAUGAGAUGUUCAUCUUUCUUCACUUACAUUUUUCCUCUUUCUUCUGUAUCUCUUCCUACCUUAGGCCAGGUUCCCCAGGAAUGACUCAGAGAUAGACACUUGCAAGCGGGACAUUAAUUGGGGAUUACUCGCAGGAAAAGCCCCCGUGAGGGAAUGCAGGGAGCAGCCCCGGGCAGUGGGGGCGGUUGGACUGGGACCCAGGCGCCUGCCCCACGUGGCCGUUGGAGGGGUGGUCCCACACCAGGGCUCAGCACUGCUCUUGGUUGGACACUUGAGGCACCACUGCCCCGGUGAGUGGGAGCCACAGUGCCGGACCCACUCCUUGCCCCCAAUCCUGCCACCCUCGCUACUUCAUCUGCGGGUCCGUGUGGCCAGCGCUGGGUGGCCAAUGAUGAAGCUGGUUGACUCCAGCUUAAGUGAGCCAUUCCCUGCUUAUUUAACGCCUCAUGUAUGGUGGAUGCUCCCUGGUGGCCUUUCAUGUGCGAAACAGCCUGGGGCGCCUGGGUGGCUAGGUCAGUGGGUCAAGCAUCCAGUUUUUGAUUUCGGCUGAGCUCAUGAUCUUAACGGUUUGUGAGUUUGAGCCCCACGUUGGGCUCUGCACUGGCGGGGCAGAGCCUCCUUGGAUUCUCUCUCUCUCUCUCUCUCUCUCUCUCUCUCCUUUUCUCUCUGCCCCUCCCCCUCCUCAAAAUAAAUAAACAUUUUUUUUUUUUAGAAAAAGGAAACAAAGCCCUUCACACCUGGUGUCCAUCCACCUGCUUCUGCCCCAGACCCGCUUGUCCCUUGGUGGCCCACAGGCUUUCUCUUUGCGGACCUCUGACCGAGCAGCCAAGCCAUCUGCCACUGUUGAUGAGUCCACGUGCCUCCAGCCAUUCUCCUUACACACGAAGUGGACGAUUAGAUGUGUCAUCCAACUCGCUGCCCCUUGGGUUUCCCCCUCACCUCUGUCUUCAGGGCCAGCCCGAGGGGCUGUAGUGCGGCUACUGUUAAGUCUUAGCUUGUAUCUUUCCCACUCCGACCCAUCUGUAAAUUUGGCUUGGCUUUUCUCCACCUCCAUCACCCUGCUCAUAACGGACCCCUGCCCCCACCGUGCAGCCAUAGGUACGGAUGAGGGGAAGGACGAAAUGGGAGUCAGAAGCCCCACCUUUUGUACCUCAAACUGGAAAUCCCACCUUUUCUACCUCAAUGCGGGGUGAUAAAAUGAAGGACACAGGGGCGCCUGGGUGGCGCAGUCGGUUAGGCGUCCGACUUCAGCCAGGUCACGAUCUCGCGGUCCGUGAGUUCGAGCCCCGCGUCAGGCUCUGGGCUGAUGGCUCGGAGCCUGGAGCCUGUUUCCGAUUCUGUGUCUCCCUCUCUCUCUGCCCCUCCCCCGUUCAUGCUCUGUCUCUCUCUGUCCCAAAAAUAAAUAAACGUUGAAAAAAAAAAAUUAAAAAAAAAAAAAAAAAAAAAAAAAAAUGAAGGACACGGAGAAUCAGAAGAACAGGAGAGUAUUAAGAAUGGGUUGAAAGGGAGAAGUAACAGGGUGCCUGGGUGGCUCGGUCGGUCAAGCAUCUGACUCUUAAUUUCAGCUCACGAUCUCACGGUUUCGUGGGAUCGAGCCGCACAUCAGGCUCUGUGCUGUGCGGAGCCUGCUUGGGAUUCUCUGUCCCCCUCUCUCUGCCCUUCCUCCCACUCGGACUCUCUCUCUCUCUCCAAGUAAAUAAAUAAACUUUUAAAAGAUCAAAAAAAGACACAAGGAAGAAGUAACUGCACUAAAGGUUACAUCUGGGAUGUAGAAGAACAAGUGGAGAAUCGAAAACUUCCUUCGCUUGCCUCCCACGCUUCGUGCUGACUCUCCAGCUCUCUCUACUCCUUCCCAGAUUCCUUUGGCUCCUCGUUGGAGUUGGCGUCACCCAGAGCCCGGUGCCAGGACCACUCCUCUUUCCUUGUCACCCUUGAUGUCCCCCGGUGUCAUGGCUUCAAGUGUCUUCUGUGUUCCAAGUACCAGAUUUAAAUGUCCAGCCCAGACCUCCUCCUGCCCACUUGUACACUUCGCUGCUCAUUCGCCACCUGACUCCGCCUGGCUAAAGGGCCUCUCAGGUUCAGCCGCUGGACUGCCACACUAGGUUGCCUACAGCCAAGUUCCUGACACCCACCCCCCCACCCGGGCUUCUCCCAUCUCUGUAAACAUCAGCUUUGGUUUUUCAAGUUGCUCCGGCCGAAAACUUGGAGGGGUCCUUGACUCCUCUUUUCCUUCCCCCCACUCCCCGGAUCCAGAUGCAAAUCCUGUCAGUUAUAUUCUUAGAACACGUCCAGAAUCCAACCUCUUUCACCACUCCUGCAGCCACCCCUGCGGUUCAGGCCACCAUUGGCCCCUGUCUUCCUGUCAUGUCUGAACGGAUCUGGUGUCUGCCUUUGCUCCUGCCAUUUAUUCUCCACACGCAGCCAACACCAGGCUGUUGAACAGAAGCUGAGCUGUGUGGUUUUCCUGCUUUAAGCCCUCCAUCCAUCAGCUCCCCCACAUACUCAGAGGACGAGCCAAAGUCGUCACCUGGACCCAUGAUGCUCUGCACAACCUGGCCUCUCCCCUCCUCAAACAACACAGGCAAGGCCGUCCCACUCAUCCUUCCCACUUCCCGGAGUGCUCCUUCCCAGAAGUCUGCACAGGUCCCUCCCUUACCUCUUCCAGGUCUUUAUUCAAUUUAUUGAGUUAUUUAUUUUUAAAGUAGGCUUCAUACCUAGCACAGAGCCCAGUGUGGGGCUUGAACUCACAAACCCAAGAUCAAGACCUGAGCUGAGAUCGAGUUGCUCAACUGAGCCACCCAGGCGCCCCCAGUUCUUUAUUCAAAUGCCACCUUUUCAGAAACGUCUCCCCUGUACCUUCUGAUUUAAAAUGGGUAAAAACAACUCUACUUGGGAUGCCUGGGUGGCUCAGUUGAUUAAGCUUCCAACUUCGGCUCAGGUCAUGAUCUCACAGUUCAUGAGUUCGAGCCCCACAUCGGGCUCUGUGCUGACAGCUCGGAGCCUGGAGCCUGGAGCCUGCUUUGGAUUCUGUGUCUCCCUCUCUCUACCCCUCCCCAGCUUGCACUCUGUGUCUCUGUCUUUCUCAAAACUAAACAUAAAAAAAAAUUUUUAAAACUCUACUUGUUCUCCCCUUUAGAGGGUUCAGUGGUGGCCCCCGAAAAGAUACACAUACAUCCUAACCUCCAGAAUCUAUGAUUGUGCCCUUAUUUGGCAGAGGGUCUUUGCAGAUGUAAUCAAAUUAUAGAUCUUGAAAUGAGAUCAUCUUGGAUUACCUGGGUGGACUCUAAACCCAAUGACAAGUUUCCUUGUAAGAGAAGACACAGACUCCCAGAAGAGGGGAGGUGUGAAGACAGAUGACUACACAACAUAAAACGCACUGAUCAUGUUUAUUGACUUUCUACCCUACUACUCUAUGAGCUACAAGAAGGCAGAGAUUUUUAUCAGUUUUGUUCACUGCUGUGUUACCAGAGUCGAAGACAGUGCCUGGUUCCAGUGCCUACUUUGGGGUUAGAGUUCAAUGAAUAUGUGUUAAUUAGGUAAGCCGAGAGAGGAAUAAAUGAAUGAGUAAUGUCAUCCCUGAUAUUGUGCCUGAGUGAACAGAAGAAUGAUGGCUCCAUUGAUCAAAACAGGAGAGAAGGAGAAAUCAUAAUUAGAACGGAGAUGGGGGUAGCUAGACAUGUGCGAUGUAGGGCAUGUUCGGUUCGAUAGGACGUAACUACAAGUAGAAAUGUACACACAGCCACAGCUUACGAUGGCUCAACUUAGGAGUUCUUGACUUUGCAGUGGUGUAAAAGCGAAAUGCAUGAAGUCAAAACCAUGCUUGGAAUUUCGAAUUUGGAAUAUUUCCCAGGCUAGCGAUACGCGGGACGAUUUUCUCUCGUGAUGCCGGGCAGGGGGCCGUGGCUGUAGCUCCGGGUCACCAAGCGGUCGCAGGGGUCAACCAGAGACACACCUACGGCCAUUCUGCACUCGCACAGCCAUUCUGGUUUUCACUUUCAGUACAGUGUUCAACACAUCAUGUAAGAUAGUCAACACUUUAUUGUAAAAUGGGCUUUGUGUUGGGUGAUUUUGCCCAGCUACAGGCUAAUGUAAGUGUUCUGAGCACGCUUGAGGUCACCUAGGCUAAGCUAUGAUGUUCAAGAACUCAGGUGUAUUAAAAGCAUUUUCAACUUCAUGACAUUUUCUACGUGCAGUGGACUUUUGGGCACAUAACCCCCAUUGUGAACGGAAGAAGAUCUGUGUACAUUUUCACUAAUUUCGGAUUUACUUAUCCAGCCAAUUCCAAAAGAAUUUUGGAAGACUUACUCUAUUUAAUAACACAUAAUAAGACAAAAACAGAAGAAAACUGACAGGCUUUGGGGACGUAGGACUGAUGUUUGGUUGAAAUGCCCGUGUGGAGAUACAUAGAUUAGUGAUCAGAUUUCAAAGAUGAGACUUCAAAAUCCUAUUUUAGCUAGCCUCUCUUGCACCAGAUGUUUUAUUGCAUAAAUUCCAAAUUGAUUUAUUGACCGACUGAUGGACCGAUUUUACCUCUCAUCUUUUCCCUUUUCUGUAUACUGAGGCAAUAUUCGUGGUCAGGAAAGCAGGCGAGAUUCAAAUUACAUCAAGGGUAAGGGAAGAGCAAUAGCUCUAGAAAGUUUCAGAGAUUCACAGUAGAAGCUGAAUCCGUCAGCUAGCCUCAGACCUCGUGCACCCCUUAAAGAACUGACCUCCCCCGAACGCCCCCUGCAGGAGGCCCGCGGAGGAACCAGUGCGCACCUUGGGGCACAUGGGGGUGCUAUUCCAACCGUGGCCGGCUUUUAUUCCCCACCCUCUUCCGCUCCCCAUUUAAUGAGGCACUUCCACUAGUGAAGGUGUUUUCCAAAUAAUUUUUUGCCCUGCCCCUCUUGCUUGUUGGAAGGAAGGAAGGAAGGAAGGAAAAGAAAGAAAGAAAGAAAGAAAGAAAGAAAGAAAGAAAGAAAGAAAGAAAGAAAGAAAGAAAGAAAGAAAGAAAGAAAGAAAGAAAGAAAGAAAGAAAAGGAAGGAGAAAGAAAGAAAAAGAAAAGAAAUGGAAAGAAAAGAAAGAAAGAAAAGAGGCAGGAGAAGAAAGGGAAAGAGAAAGAAAAAGAAAGAAAGGGAAAGAAAGAAAGAAAGAAAGAAAGAAAGAAAGAAAGAGAAAACGAAAAAGCUCCUCACACUAGUUCACAUUAUAAAUGGAAUAGAGGGGCGCCUGGGUGGCUCAGUCGGUUAAGCGCCCGACUUCAGCUCAGGUCACGAUCUCGCGGUCCGUGGGUUCCAGCCCCACGUUGGGCUCUGGGCUAAUGGCUCAGAGCCUGGAGCCUGUUUCCGAUUCUGUGUCUCCCUCUCUCUCUGCCCCUCCCCCGUUCAUGCUCUGUCUCUCCCUGUCUCAAAAAUAAAUAAACGUUAAAAAAAAAAAAAUUUUUUUAAAUUAAAAGAAAAAAUAAAUGGGAUAGAUGUCUCCUCUCUACAAUUGCCUUUAAAAUUUUUAGGACAUUUCUUUUCUAUGUCUAUUUAUGUUUGAGAGAAAGAGAGAGAGACUCACAGAGUAUGAGUUGGGGAGGGUCAGAGAGAAAAGGAGACACAGAAUCUGAAGCAGGCUCCCGAGCCGAAGUCGGACCCUCAACUGACUGAGCUACCCAGGGGCCCCAGGACAUCUUUCAAAUGCUAGAAUGUCAGUGAGAAAGAUACAUAUAAGAGUCAGAUUUCUUUUUUUUUUUUUUUUUUUAAGUUUAUCUUGAGAGAGAGAGUACGCAAGCAGGGGGAGGGCGGAAAGAGCAGGGGAGAGGGAGAGAGAAUCCCAAGCAGGCUCCCCAUGGGGAGGGAGCCAGCAGGGAGCCCCCCGGGGGCUUGAACUCAUGAACCGGGAGAUCAGGAUGUGAGCCAAAACCAAGAGUUAAAGGCUCAACCGACUGAGCCCCCCAGGAGCCCCAGAUUUCUUUUAUUUUGCAAGGUUUGCAGAGCCACGGUGAUAGUCUCGCAGAGGCCGAAGGGCUCAACUUGUUAAGUGUUUCAUCCUUAACUCGUUUACAGAGGUGUGUCACGUAGGAGGCAUUGGCCACGCACCUUGGCCUGUUCACACCAACCUCGCCUCGGCCAGCAGGAGGCAGGCUGAGCGCCCACCGCGCUCCAUGUCAUUGUGCAGUUUCCAGCUAAGCCCCAGUGCGUUUUUGAAAACGCGAGUGUCGAAAAAAUGCUCAUAAAAUAUGAGAAAAUAUUAGCUUCCUGGAUGGAAUCUGCAUUUAAUGGACCUUGAGGGAUGAAAUGAAAUACAUACAUAUAUCCUUACGCUUACCAGUUUAUUCAGGGAUCUGAAUCAGCAGCCAGAUGAAGACACAUGGGGUGAGGUUCUGAACGAAGGAGCUUCAGUCCUGGCAGAAGUUGGGGCUUGGAUCGGAGGUGGCACACGGAGCAGUCUUGUUCCUCAAGCAUAGAAGCUCUCCAAAAUAAUAAUAAUAAUAAUGAGAUGGAGUAUAUUUUCUUGCAAUAUUCGGUGCAUAUUUUAUAUCUCAAUACCUUGACAUGUUAGGGGGGCUUCCUCUCUUUCCUUUUUUUAACUUUUGAGUUCAUUUUAAUUCCAAAGUUAAAAAACAAACUGGAAAAGCUGAAUUCUUCUAAAAUGCUGUAUUUUUCACUACGAGUGCUAGAUGGCAGGUGCACACUUCACAUGGCUUUAGGCUGCUUUGCUGGGAUUAGCCUCUCCUUGAUGACAAGAAUGUUUUGAUUAUUUAAAUGAAACUCUAGGGCCGAGUGUGGAAGAAAAGUGACAUUUGAUGUCACAAACUGUUUAUAGCUAAAAUCCCUGACUGGCAGGAAGACAGGAAUCCCCCUGCUGUCCUCCAGAAGAGACUUCGUGGGCUGGGACACUGCUAGGUCUUGUUUAAGGUCUUGCUCCCUAACUGCAACACUGAAUCUGACUAACGAAUACACACUAGCCGCCCCGAGAGAUCGUGAACUGANUUGGGGAGGGUCAGAGAGAAAAGGAGACACAGAAUCUGAAGCAGGCUCCCGAGCCGAAGUCGGACCCUCAACUGACUGAGCUACCCAGGGGCCCCAGGACAUCUUUCAAAUGCUAGAAUGUCAGUGAGAAAGAUACAUAUAAGAGUCAGAUUUCUUUUUUUUUUUUUUUUUUUAAGUUUAUCUUGAGAGAGAGAGUACGCAAGCAGGGGGAGGGCGGAAAGAGCAGGGGAGAGGGAGAGAGAAUCCCAAGCAGGCUCCCCAUGGGGAGGGAGCCAGCAGGGAGCCCCCCGGGGGCUUGAACUCAUGAACCGGGAGAUCAGGAUGUGAGCCAAAACCAAGAGUUAAAGGCUCAACCGACUGAGCCCCCCAGGAGCCCCAGAUUUCUUUUAUUUUGCAAGGUUUGCAGAGCCACGGUGAUAGUCUCGCAGAGGCCGAAGGGCUCAACUUGUUAAGUGUUUCAUCCUUAACUCGUUUACAGAGGUGUGUCACGUAGGAGGCAUUGGCCACGCACCUUGGCCUGUUCACACCAACCUCGCCUCGGCCAGCAGGAGGCAGGCUGAGCGCCCACCGCGCUCCAUGUCAUUGUGCAGUUUCCAGCUAAGCCCCAGUGCGUUUUUGAAAACGCGAGUGUCGAAAAAAUGCUCAUAAAAUAUGAGAAAAUAUUAGCUUCCUGGAUGGAAUCUGCAUUUAAUGGACCUUGAGGGAUGAAAUGAAAUACAUACAUAUAUCCUUACGCUUACCAGUUUAUUCAGGGAUCUGAAUCAGCAGCCAGAUGAAGACACAUGGGGUGAGGUUCUGAACGAAGGAGCUUCAGUCCUGGCAGAAGUUGGGGCUUGGAUCGGAGGUGGCACACGGAGCAGUCUUGUUCCUCAAGCAUAGAAGCUCUCCAAAAUAAUAAUAAUAAUAAUGAGAUGGAGUAUAUUUUCUUGCAAUAUUCGGUGCAUAUUUUAUAUCUCAAUACCUUGACAUGUUAGGGGGGCUUCCUCUCUUUCCUUUUUUUAACUUUUGAGUUCAUUUUAAUUCCAAAGUUAAAAAACAAACUGGAAAAGCUGAAUUCUUCUAAAAUGCUGUAUUUUUCACUACGAGUGCUAGAUGGCAGGUGCACACUUCACAUGGCUUUAGGCUGCUUUGCUGGGAUUAGCCUCUCCUUGAUGACAAGAAUGUUUUGAUUAUUUAAAUGAAACUCUAGGGCCGAGUGUGGAAGAAAAGUGACAUUUGAUGUCACAAACUGUUUAUAGCUAAAAUCCCUGACUGGCAGGAAGACAGGAAUCCCCCUGCUGUCCUCCAGAAGAGACUUCGUGGGCUGGGACACUGCUAGGUCUUGUUUAAGGUCUUGCUCCCUAACUGCAACACUGAAUCUGACUAACGAAUACACACUAGCCGCCCCGAGAGAUCGUGAACUGAUCCGUGAACAGGGCAAUCCCUGGUGUCUCCCUUUCAUUCUGGUUGAGUUGUGGGUUUCGAGUAUGGAUGUAGACUCACCUGGAAUCGAUUUCCAGGGGACAGUCGCUCACCAAACCUUACAUCUGUGCCACCAGACAAGCUUUUAACUUCUCUAAACCCCUGUUUCUUCGUUCGUAAAAGGUGGAUGAUAUUGGCGGGGUUUUGUCAGAAUUCAGAGAAUGAUGUUAAGAUCUCAGCACAGAGCUGACACAGAAAGUGCUCAAUAAAUGGCAGUUAGUGUCAUUUCAUUGCAGAAGUUGAGGCUAAUUAGUUCCGGAGUCACAACAUCUCAGAUUAGAAGGGGCCUUCAAGUCCAGUCCAACUGUGACUCUCCAGCCCCUGGCCAAGCAGUCUUGUCUACGCAGGACCUCUUCCAAGAUACUCGGCAUUUGACAUCAAAAGCCUUCCGUUAAGGUUAUGGCCAAUAAAGGGGAGGAGAAGGGAAAGUCAUAUAGAGGCCCGCCUGCUAAGAAGUCUUGUAAGAAAAUAUCUGAUUUUUCUUGCAGGCUUGGUUUUCUGAGCACAAGAGCAAGUCAUCCUACCGGAACAGAACGGA